rnacentral:lncRNA from 1 species
CUCAGUGUUUUAUAUGCCUGAUAAAACUGGAAAUAUUAAUUAUGAUUAUAAAAGCUAUCUACUCUGUAUUGAGUUUGUUCAAAAUGAGUUAGACCCUUGUUGAGAGAUUUAUCAUGCUCCUAAGAUCAAGACAUUUAUUCAAAAAGAUUCACUCUUCCGAAGUAUUAUUGCAUUAGAGGCAUGGGCUAUGCAAAAAUAAAGAUAUUUCGAGGAAAUAAAAAGGAGCAAGUGCUCGACAACCUCGCAGAAAAAAUGGACAAGUGUCCGGCAGUAGAAUUAGGGAUACCUUGGUAUCCACUUAAAAAAAGAGAGAAAAGAAAGAAAAUGAUAGCCCAUGGUUCCUCUAAUAAGCAAUAUGCCAGCAAGAGUUGACAAAGUUUUUAAUUCCUAAAGUCUUUGAUCUAAGAGUAUGACAUUCCCCUCCUCGGAUCCCGUUUUGAUCAGGCAAUAAAUGCAAAGUAAGUAUGCUUGCAAAUUAAAACAGCCUCAGUAAGAUAUAUAGAAGAUAAUGAGUGAUCUGAGAGAACCUAUGAGGAUAAAAGGUAUGCUAUUUUUCUUUCAAAAAUAUACAAAAACUCCAAGUGACAGGAUUGAGAAGAAAGGAUCUUUACUCUUAACCAUAUACUUCCCUGACUAUAGUACACAGUGGAAUUUUAACACCCCGCAGUUAUGAAAAGAAUGUUUUAAAUUGUUUUACCCCAAAUAUUGUUCUUAACCAUCCUUUUCUCAAGGACGAGUAAAAGCCUAAGUAUGGGGGUAUUUGUUGACGGUUCUUAAGUAUCAAUUUUAAUUAUCAAAUAAACAAGAGAAAGGACCAAUAUGCAACCAACACCUAGAAUUAGGGUUUGAUCUGACAGAAUUCCACGAGUUUUGUUGUUUAUCUGUUUCUGCAGGGGGUUAUCAGUAAAUAAGGAAGAAAGGCCCACAUGUUGGGAUUACAUAGAGAUAUCAACGUACCGCGCGAUUUUCUACCAUCUAGAAGACUCCAGAAGCCACGGAAAGAAAGCAGAGGCUGAAAGGGGCCAGGCCCAGGGCGCCCGCCCUGAGGACCUGGGCGCCCGCCCCCCUCUGGAUGUCAAUCAGGACUCUCUUCGCACACGAUGUUCCACCGACCUAUUGGAUCAAGGAUAACGUAGUACCACCUCGCCUACCGACCCAAAAACGCAUAGAGGAGGAGGACUAUAUAAGGAGACCCCCUGGCCCCUGGAGGAGACAAGAAGUUAUCAUAGAGAUUGAGGGGUGCCCUCGAAGGAAAACCUCUUCUCUAAUUAAUAUUUCUUUUUAGGCUUAGCAACCAAUGUAAAGUACAAAUAGAUAUUCUAGUUUCUACUAGAUUGAGAGAGAUAGAGUGGAGGUGUAGAUUGGAGGAAGCCCGGCCUGUCGGUGUCUACUCCAAGCUUGUACCUGCGGGAUCAAGUUCUCCUAACCCGAAGCUUGCUCCUAGGAUUCUUCAGUAUUUCGACUUCUAAAUUCUAGUAAGUUCUUGUUUUAUUGUUCUUCUGGUUUAUGAGUUUACUUUAAUCUCUUCGCGUAGAGUUUAGAGUAAUCAUUACUGGCAUAAACGUGGUGUUUAGGCUGGGGUACUCAUAGAUAUUCCCUGACUAGCUGGACUGUGGUAGUAGUGAGGAACGUGACAAUUCCGAGUUACCUUUGCAGACCAUAUCUCGUUAGUAGGAAGGAUAGGGUUUAUAGGUGCGGGUUGAACAUCCUUUGUGGUGUCUAGAUUCCGUUAGCCUCCCAAAUAGAAUAGUAGAUCAUCCUUACCAAGGUUAGAAGGAGACUACGGUUGCAGUGUUCUCUAUUUAUCACUCACAUCGAGAGACAUUCUUUGUUGCCUAAAGGGUUAGUAGUAAUAGACCAGUUAGUCAGAUGCACUCUUUCUCCUAGUGGUAAAAAAAUAAAUACGAUACUCUGGAUAACAUCCCGGGUGAAGUGCUCACCGAUAUCCAUGUGCUUGCAGAUCAAUUCCUUAUUGCGUUCCCAAAUAUCAACAGUGACCGCAUCAAGACCGGAUGUCAUGUUUAGUGUAUGCAUGUGUGCAAGAUUCCAAGCCUCACCAAGAGAAAGUCAUUUGAAAGCAACAAAGAAUAUUGAGGUACUUGAAGCAUACACAAAAUGUUGGUUUGUGGUAUCCCAAAGGUGCAAAGUUUGAACUUGUUGGAUAUUCCAAUUUGGACUAUACGGGAUGCAAAGUUGAAAGAAAAAGCACAUCAGGCACAUGUCAACUAUUGGGUAGAUCACUUGUCUCAUGGUCAUCCAAGAAGCAAAAUAGUGUUGCACUAUCAACCGCCGAAGCGGAGUACAUUGCGGCCGGUAGUUGUUGUGCACAAAUCUUAUGGAUGAAGGCAACAUUGAAGGAUUUUGGAAUCAAUUUCAAAGAAGUGCCAUUGCUAUGUGACAAUGAAAGUGCCGUGAAGCUCACCAACAAUCCGGUUCAACACUCAAGAAUAAAGCACAUAGAUGUCCGCCAUCACUUCAUAAGAGAUCACCAACAAAAAGGGGACAUUUGCAUUGAGAGUAUAGGCACCGAUGAUCAACUUGCUGAUAUAUUCACCAAGCCACUUGAUGAGAAGAGGUUUUGCAAGCUAAGAAAUGAAUUGAACAUACUUGACUUUUCAAAUAUGUGUUGAUGCACCCCCACUAUAUGACAUGCCUCUCCUUCGAGCAAAGCAAGGUAACAUUGAUUGACAUGUCAUUCAUCCUAUGCUAAGGACUUGCUUAGUGCAUCUAGUCAUUCUUUACAUGUCUUAGGCUCAUUCAUGAAAAUCAAAUGUUUUUGAUGCUUGUAUGGUACCACUAUUGCUUUUAUGCUUGACUUGAUCUAGUGGUAGCAUAUGACAUGUUUGUGGGCUUGCAAUCCUAGUGUUUGAUCUAGAAUAUGAGCUAUAAGUGUUUAACUCAACAUGGUACAAGAUAACCUUUUUUUAGAGGUGUGAAGAAGCUUGUCCUUGGAUCAAACCGAGUUAAAUAUCUUAGGCAAGUAAUCUAGAUUGGACCAAUUUGGGAAAAUGAUCUCACUUCACAUGGUUUCACACUAACCUAUCUAAAAUUUGAGCUCACCUUUUGUGGUCAUUGAUGACAAAGGGGGAGAAAAUUUCCCAAAGUUUUAAGAUAGGGGAGUAACAUGAUAAAAGAAGGGGAUCAAUUAAAAUUUUGAAGCACACAAGUAGGGGGAGCAAGCUCAUAAACUUGUAUGUUUCAUUUGAAUGUGCAUCACAUAUGUUUGCUUGCAUUAGCAUUAGCUUCAAAAACUUUCUCUCCGAUGCCUUGCUUGUGUGGUGUAUGCUAGUUGUAAGUUUGAUUGAUGAAAUGAAGAACUAGCAUGCAUAGGUAGUGUAACUAGACUUUUAGUUAUUUCACAAGUGGUACUAGAACCUUGUUUUUAAUGUUGAUCUCAUGGGGUGUUCUAGCUUUGUGAAUGUCUAGUUACUAAUGGUGCUAAGGAUGGUGUAUAUUGGCAACUCCGAUUGGUAUCACGCUUCAAAGGUCCAUUCUUUACACCUUAGCAUCAUUUGGUAGAAAUUGUCUCCUAUUUUUCCUAUUCAAGCAUAUGUGCAAGCUUUCAAAUCCAAACUCUUAGCACAUAUGUAGGGGGAGCAAUUGCUACCAAUUUGGGUUUAUGAAACUUGUCCAUAACCUUUGCACAUGGUAAAAUGCUUGGGCAAGUAACAUGAAUCCAAGAAAAUUUUAUUGAAAAUCUUUGUAAAAAGGGUUGUCAUCAAUUACCAAAAAGGGGGAGAUUGAAAGCCCUAGUUUGGUUUUGGAUAAUUGAUGAAACCCUAAUACUAACCUCUAUGCUAAGUGUGUGUAGACUUAAUGAGGUUGGUACAUGCUAAGUGAUGGAGCAAAUGAUGAUCAUGGUGAUGAUGGUGAUGACCACGAGAUGAUCAAGUGCUCAACUUUGAAAAGAAGAAAGAGAAAAACAAAACCCUAUGGAGAUCAAGGUAAAGGUAUUGCUUAGGGUUUUGGUUUUGGUGAUCAAGACACCAUAGAGGUUGUGAUCACAUUUAGGAUAGAUAGCCGUACUAUUAAGAGGGGUAAUCUCUUUGUGAAAACGGUUGUCUAAGUGCCACUAGGUGUUUGGAUUCCUUGCAUAUGCAUUAGGACCUAGUGAGCUAACUAAGUAACCCUUGAAAAAUGUUUUGAAAUAUGCUAACACUCAUGCACAAGUGUGGAGACACUUUGGUGUUGGCACAUGGAAGCAAGGGAAGAAGUUGAGGAUCUUUUCGUGCAGCGCGUUCAGGCCGGACGCGUCCGGUAUGAGGUCAGACGUGUCCGAGUUGAGGCACCGGACUCAGGAACAGUAACCUCCUGGAGUCCGGUGUGCUUCAUCCGGUGAGGUCGCUUUCUUGGUGAAACUCUCUAAGUUUGCGUCAGGUGCACACCGGACGCGUCCGGUGUGACAUGAGAUGCGUCCGAGUUAGCGUCCGGUGCAAGUCCUUCGUGCGAAGCUCCCUGAGUUUUGGUUCGGUGCACACCGGACGCGUCCGGUGUGUGCGCCGGUGUGGCGACCGGUGUUGGUUCAAGUUUGCGACGCUCCCUAAGUUUGGAUCCGAUGCACACCGGACGCGUCCGGUAUUUCAAAAGCGAGAGUCCGGUGCCCUGUCAGAGUCAGAGGCAAUGGCUACUUUCUAACGGUCAAAGAGCACCGGACGCUGGUCUGGCUCAUACCGGACGCGUCCGGUGUGAACUAGGACGCGUCCGGUGUGGACGCAGACUGUGGGGUAAACUGCCAACGGCUAGUUGAAGCUUGGGACUUCUAUUUAUAGGCCUUGGCUGGUUCAUGCUCACUCUCUUGACUCUCUAACUUGUUGAUACACCUUGUGAGCAUACUCCUACACAUCCCACUCACCUUGUUCAAGAUUUGUUCAUCCAAAGUUAGAUUGGGAGAGAUCCUAGUUGCAUUUGCUUAGAGUUUGAGCAUCUAGUGGCACUAGUGAUUGUUGAGCAGCGGGUUUGCUUGUUACUCUUGGUGGUUGCCGCCACCUAGACGGCUUGGAGCUGCGAAGGAGUUUUGGCACGAGUGGGUGAUUGUUCGUGGCCAUCUCCCGGUGAUUGUGAGAGGUUUGUGCCUACCUCGGCGGAGAGCCAAAGGCAACAUUAGUGGAUUGCUCGUGUCAUUGAGCUACCUCACUUGUGGGUAGGUUCUUGUGGUGUCCUAGUGAGGACGAGGUUCGUGCUACACCUCUUAGCCACCGAACCACCAAGUGUUGGUCGACACAACGGGGAUGUAGCGUGCCGGCAAGCACGUGAACCUCAGGAGAAAAUUGUGUGUCUCCAUUGUGAUUGUUCAUUGGAUUUCUCCCGGUGAUUGGACUUCAUAUUAUUGAUUGGUUCAUCCCCUCUACGCGGCGGUAUAAAGAUCAAACCAUCUCUCUUACUUUCUCGCAAACUAGAGUAGCUUACUUACUUGUAUAGAAACUUUAGAUAGCUCUCUAGUGUAAGUAGUGACAUAGCUCUUGUGUGCCUAGUGAUCAUAUCAACUAGAAUUGUUGGAUAGGUGGCUUGCAAACACCUCAUUAGAGCUAGAGCAAAAAGCUUCGCUUUGUUAUUUACUAACCACUUGCUCUAGUGAGUUUUGUAGAAUUUGAAAUAGGCUAUUCACCCCCCUCUAGCCAUAUUAGGACCUUUCACCCUGUGGGCUGGCGGUUGCAUGUUGUAGCUCCGCCAGUUGCGCUCCCACCUGUACAUCCGGAGCAACAUGCCAACGUCCAAUCGGGGGUGGCAGAACGGGUGGUUCUACCUCCGGAAUGACGGUGGGCUGCUCCCAGAGUACACCGGGAAGAUGGUGGUCGAGUGCCCCAAUAAGUGGGGGUGGGGCACCCCUGCGGAGGACCAGAAGAGGCUCGGUCCCCUUCUCGCGGGUCUCGAGAAGUUUCGUCAAGCCAGGGUUACUGCGGCCACGGUGGCGAUGGCGUUCCAUAAGCGGAGCCUGCUACCGUUGGCGCAGCGGAGGGCGUUCAUGUGGGAGAUGACCCAGGAGGUCCCCUGGGUCGGGACGUGGAUGCUGGAGGCGCCAGUGUCGGCGACAGAGAUAACCACCCGAGUCUCGAGGACCACGCACCCGAAUCUGAAGGAUUCCCGGGUGGUGCCGAUGCGCCCUGAGAAGGGCUACAUUUAUCUAGUAAGACAGUGUUUUUGUCUUUGAUUUUGCGCCCGUUUCCCUUCUUCCUUGCCUUAGCCUUGAUUGCCGCUCGUUUGCAGGGAAUGGGGAUCGUCAAGGACUCCCUGCCCCUAGUCCCGGAGGACAAGGAGCUCCGGGCUAAGAAUCGGGCCCAGAACGAGGAGCAGAAGAAGGCCAAGGAGGCGAAGAAGGCGAAGAGCGUGAGGAAGGCGCAGCGCCGCGAGACCGCCGACAAGAACCGCCGUGAGGCUGAGAAGUCAGGGCUCCCCGCGUCUGAGUCUCCCGAGACUUCGGUCUCGGAGGUAGAGGGCGGGGGAGAUACGCACUGGCUCAACGAGCUGGUGGACGAGGAGGACGAGGAUGAAGUGAUCCCCCCUCUUGGUGGGGGGAUCGAGGCCCCAGAGGGGUCGAAGGCUCGAGGGGGAUCGGAGGCCCCCGAGGGGUCUCAAGCACAGGGGGGCGAGAGAAUCGCCCCCUAUAUUAUUGUGGACGAUGAAGAGGAUGGCGCCCCACGAGAGGGCUCUGUCCCCCCGGGUCCCCAAGAGGUGGAGAGGGCUCUGUCCGAGAUGCCCCCACAGCUGGUAGCGCCGGAGGGCCCAACUGAGCCCCGCCCAUCGGUAGGGGCGGAGGUGGAAGGCUCGGCAGAGGCGCCGCGUGCCGAGGCCACCGUUGAAGCCCCCGUGCCAACCGCUGGACAGACGGGGGUCCACCCGACGACCCUCGGCGCUCGAGGGGGUGCCCAGGGAGCUCCAAGCUCUCAGAAGGGUGUUGCCCCCCGAGCAAGGUAAGUACUGGUUUUCGGUUUUUCUUUGAAUUUUUUGUUUUUCUCUUUCUUCUAAUUCGCGUCAUCUCCUCAUCAGCCAGAAGCAUAAUGUGGCUUUAGUGGGGCUUGCACCCCUAAAGGCUGUGGAGAGGGGGGCGCAGUCGACACCUAGGUCGGCGAGGCCCAGGUCGCCGCCCCCCUUGAGCCGUGAAGAGGGCGAGCUCUCCCAUGAGGAAGGGGGCAGGAGACGAGGCGGAAGACGCCAGAUCCCCCGGCGAAGGAGGUAGGGACGCCGAGGCCCCAAGAGCCGGAGGGGACGGUCCUGGACCUCGGGGCUAUUCCCCCUUUGGGGGACGCUAGCCAAGAGGGUCAGGGUCAACCCGGACACGCCGAGGAGGGCCGGGCCGAGGUGGCGCUGAGCGUGGUGCCUCCCAAGAGGUCUCACGGGAAGGGGCCGGCCCGACCUGAGGCCCCCGCAAGGGAGGGAGGAGGGUGCAUGGCCUGGGGCCAGAGUCCCGUGAUCUGGCCCAACCCUGACGAUCCAGAGGGGAGGGCCAGGUUUGUGCUGGACGACCCGUCAGAGGCAUAUCUCUAGCGGGGCCUUGAGGAGUGCGGGCACGCCAGCGUCAAGGUGAUUAACCGGGCGUCCGAGCUCGUGAGCCAAGACAUGUUUAAGCUCGCCUAGGUAAGGUCUCCGUCCCUUUUGGUGAAGUGCUGUUUUAUGUCUUUGGACUGAUUCCUCACAUAACACCUAAUUUUGCAGGCGCUCUAAGCCGCAUCCUUGGAGAAAUCGACGUUCCUCUGCGGGGAGCGAGACGCCUGGGCGGCCUGCGACGACGAGAGGACUGCGCGGGAGGCGGCCGAGGGGGAGCUCGUGAAGGAGUGCGAGGUUUCUGCCGAGCUUCAGCAGAAGUGCUCGGCUCUCGCGACUGAGGCUCAGGAAGCCCAGGAAAGGGUUGAUCCCUUAGAAAAAAGUGUUAGCAACCUCACCCUGGAGUCCCAAGAGCAGAGAGCUGCCGUGGAGAGGUACAGGGGCGAGGUCACUUAGUUGGAAGCUUUGCUCGCCGAGAAAGUCCUCAUCCUUAACCAAGCUCAGGUGGACCUCUCUACGGCUCAGGGCAAGGUGGCCCAGUGGCAUCGGAGCUCGACGGAGAAUGGGAAGCGGGCCGAGGGUAAGAACUGAGUCUUUUACCUUAGCUCUUUAGUAUUUGGAUUUGUUUUCCUAACUUUUGUCUUCUCGUUCUGUUUUUCAACAGAGCUGGAGAAGAAGGUGGCAGAGGUAGCCUCUGCCGCUGACGCCCUGUAGAAGUCCCUUGAUGCUGAGGUGGCGGACCGUUCGGCUCUGGGGGUCGUGGUUGCCUCGGCAUGUGAGGGGCUCGGGGUAACGGCGGGCGCGUCGGGGUCGUCUUUGCGGAGCCGUGUCGAGGCUCUGUACUCCCGGGCCAAGGAGAGGAUGAGGGAGGCACUCCACGCCGCGGUGAAGAAAGCCCUAGCGGUGGUGAGCUUUCACUACGUCGGCAUCAAUUUGCCGGCGGUUUGUGAGGGCUAUGUCCUCCCUGACGACGAGGCGGAGGCCCAGGAGGAGCUGCAGAAGCUUGGUGACGCCGCGGACGCCCCGGGAGAUGCCCUGGCCGCCUUCUUCGACGCCGAAGUGGAGCUUCCCCCCCUCAGCGCGCAGGGGCCUGGAGAAUCAGGGCAGUGAGGCCCUUCUAGUUAAUUUUUUUCUUUUUGUUUAAGAUCAUCAAGGGACGAUAGGCCUUGUUUUUUAUGAAACUUGAUAUCGAAUGUUAAUAUGAAUGUUAAUAUGAUUGUUCUUUUUAGGAUUUCCUUUAUGUUUUUUGUUAUCUUUUUCCCUGUACCAUCCCGACCUCGGCAGCGUGGGGUCGGGCGAGCCUCUUAGGGUCUGCAUUAGUCAAAGCAUCCCAAGCCUAAGUCUUUUUCUCUUUCCUUAGUAAUUUAGAAGUUCAGAUCCGUCUCCCGAUCCUAGCGGGUGAGUGGAGGUCGUCCUAGCCCGUGGUCGAGGAUCUUUCCUCGGGCUCACGCCUUCUUAAGAUUUAGGGGAUGGAUCUGCGGCCUUUUAAAUUCUUUUAGGAAACAAAAGAAAGACCUUGGGUCGGGGCAUUUUAUCUUGCAUGAAAAAAAGAACUUUCGGAGUUGCCACAGGGGGUUCCCCCCGAGUAGCCCCCGAGGGAGGCUCGGAUUCUGCAAGGCAGAGCCGAGGCUUACUCUUUAAAAAGAAACAAUCAUAUAAUUCGAAUUUCCAUUAUUCUUUCGAGGAAAUGAACAAAUGGAUAUCUUUACAAAAUUCUAAGGGUAGAAGCGACGUAGCUGUUCUAUGUUCCACGCGUUCUUGAAGACUUCUCCUGCUUCGUUGGCGAGCUUGUAUGUGCCGGGUCCGAGGACUUUGGCGAUGACGAAGGGUCCUUUCCAGAGAGGCGUGAACUUAUGACGACCCUUGUUGCUUUGCCUGAGCCUCAGCACCAAGUCGCUGACUUGAAAGGCUCGUCCUCGGACUCGUCGAGCAUGGUAACGUCGGAGGGCCUGCUGGUACUUGGCGGAAUGUAGGAGGGCUACAUCUCUAGCUUCAUCCAGCUGGUCCAGCGCGUCUUCUUGGAACGUCUUGCAGCUAUUUUCGUCGUAGGCUUGUACCCUUGGAGACCUGUACUCUAGGUCCGUGGGGAGGACGGCUUCCGACCCAUAGACCAUGAAGAACGGGGUGAAGCCUGUGGCUCGGCUUCGGGAAGUCCUUAGACUCCACAUCACGGCCGGUAACUCCUUGAGCCACCUUUUUCCAAACUUGUCCAACCGGUUGAAGAUUCUGGGCUUCAGACCCUGGAGGAUCAUGCCAUUGGCACGUUCCACCUGACCAUUGGGCUUUGGGUGAGCGACUGCUGCCUAGUCCACACGUAUGUGGUGCCUGUCGCAGAACUUCAGGAAUUUUCUCCCGGUGACCUGCGUGCCGUUGUCAGUGAUUAUGGAGUUGGGCACUUCAAAUCGGUGGAUGAUAUCCAUGAAAAACAGCACUACUUGUUCGGCCUUGAUCCUUAUGAUGGGUCGGACCUCAAUCCACUUGGAAAAUUUGUCGAUUGCGACAAGUAAGUGGGUGAAACCCCCGAGCGCCUUUUGCAGAGGCCCGACGAGGUCGAGGCCCCAGACGGCAAAAGGCCAAGUAAUGGGGAUCGUUUGUAGAGCCUGAGCAGGGAGGUGAAUCUACCGAGCGUAAAAUUGGCAUCCCUCAUAGGUCCUUAUGAUCUAUGUGGCAUCGGCCACAGCGGUGGGCCAGUAGAAGCCUUGCCGGAAGGCAUUUCCUACCAGCGUCCAUGGCGCAGCGUGGUGGCCACAAGCCCCCGAGUGUAUGUCCUCAAGGAGCUUGAUUCCUUCCUGACGGGUGAUGCAACGCAUAAGAAUGCCCGAGGGGCUGCGCUUGUACAUCUCUCCGUCGAGAAGUAAGAAAGACUUGGCGCGACGAGCUACACGCCGUGCCUUAGCUUGGUCUGAGGGCAGAGUGCCGUCGACGAGGCGUUGCAGUAGUGGAUAGCGCCAAUCCGACAAGUCGUCGGGUGCAGGGGGCUCGGGCUCAAUGUCCAUGGCCUCCGGCUCAUGAGCGGUGGAGGCCUCGAGAUCAAGACCCGAGCCGCCUGGGGGUGGAUCCGAGCCCACGUCGUCUUUGUAGUUGAUGGAAGGCCUGUAGAGGUCGCUGACGAAGACAUCCGGAGGGACCGUGGCCCGCUCGGAUGCCAUUUUGGCAAGCGCGUCGGCGGCCUCUUUGUACUUUCUUAACACGUGGUUAAGCUUGAGGCCGUCGAACUUUUCCUCCAGGCGCUGGACUGCAUUGCAAUACGCAUCCAUCUUGGGGUCGUGGUAGCUGGACUCUUUCAUGACUUGGUCGAUGAUGAGUCUGGAGUUGCCUCGAACGUCGAGCCGCUUGAUCCCAAGCUCGAUCGCGAUAUGGAGACCGUUAACAAGGGCCUCGUACUCUGCCGCAUUGUUUGAGGCAUUGAAGUGGAGUUGGAUUGCAUAUCGCAUCCUUACCCUGAGGGGCGAGAUGAAUAUGAGGCCCGCGCUGGCCCCAGUUUUCAUCAGGGACCCGUCAAAGUACAAGGUCCAGCACUCGGACUGGAUCUGCGGUGGAGGGAGUUGGGUUCCCGUCCACUCAGCUACGAAAUCUGCUAAAACUUGGGAUUUUAUAGCUUUUUGAGGCUCAUAGGUAAUCCUAACACCCAUGAGUUCUAUUGCCCACUUUGCAAUCCUACCAUUAGCCUCUCGGUUUUGAAUCACCUCUCCUAGAGGGAAAGGUGAUACGACUGAGACCGGAUGGGAUUCAAAGUAAUGGCGGAGCUUGCAUCAGGCUAAGACUACCGCGUAUAGUAGUUUUUGGAUUUGGGGGUAUCGGGUUUUUGUGUCGGACAGUACCUCACUAACGAAGUACACCAGUCUUUGGACCGGUAGGGCAUGCCCUUCUUCCUUUCUUUCGACCACGAUAGCUGCGCUGGCCACCUGAUCGGUGGCUGCGACAUACUGGAGCAAUGGUUCCCCCUCGGCGGAGGGUACCAAGAUGGGAGGGUUAGUGAGCAGAGCCUUGAGCUUGUCAAGGGCUUCCUGGGCCUCGGGGGUCCAGGAAAAAUGCUUGGAUUUUCUAAGUAACCUAUACAGAGGUAGUCCUUUUUCCCCAAGCCGGGAGAUGAAACGACUGAGGGAAGCUAGGCAUCCCAUGACUUUCUGUACUCCCUUUAGGUUACGGAUUGGGCCCAUAUUCGCGAUGGCCAAGACCUUUUUGGGGUUGGCCUCGAUCCCUCGCUCAGACACUAUGAACCCGAGGAGCAUGCCUCGGGGGACCCCAAAACGCAUUUUUAGGGGUUCAGUCUGAUCCUCUUAGCCCUGAGGCAUCGGAAUGUCUCAUCCAGGUCGGCCACGAGGCCGUUUGCCUUCCUGGAUUUGACUACAAUGUCAUCUACAUAAGCCUCUACCGUUCUGCCUAUGAGAUUUCCGAAGACCUGGAGCAUACAUCGCUGAUAUGUAGCCCCCAUGUUCUUAAGGCCAAAAGGCAUGGUUACGUAACAAAACAUUCCGAAAGGGGUGAUGAAAGAAGUCGCGAGCUGGUCGGGCUCUUUCAUCUUGAUUUGGUGGUAUCCGGAAUAAGCAUCAAGGAAAGACAAAGUCUUACACCCCGUAGUAGAGUCAACUAUCUGGUCAAUACGAGGUAAUGGAAAAGGGUUCUUAGGACAUGCUUUAUUUAAACUAGUAUAGUCUACACACAUCCUGCACUUCCCAUUUUUCUUUUUGACUAGUAUAGGGUUGGCUAACCACUCGGGAUGGAAUACCUCCUUGAUGAAUCCGGCCGCUAGCAGCUUGUGGAUCUCCUCCCCGAUGGCCCGACGCUUCUCCUCGUCUAAUCGGCGUAGGCGCUGCUUCACGGGCUUGGAGCCGGUUCGGAUGUCCAAGGAGUGCUCGGCGACUUCCCUCGGUAUGCCCGGCAUGUCCGAGGGACUCCACGCAAAUACGUCGGCGUUUGCACGGAGAAAGUCGACGAGCACUGCUUCCUAUUUGGGGUCGAGGUUCGAGCUGAUCCUCAACGCCCUGCUCUCAGAUGCCUCGGGGUCGAGGAAGAUGAGCUUGGUCUCCUCCGCCGGCUCGAAGCUCCCAGUGUGACGCUUGGGGUUGGGGAUGUCCUGGUUGCCAUCACCGAGGCUGGUGAUGAUGGACAGGGUCUCAGCAAGAGCCUCGGCCUGCUCGAUGCAGUCGACGUCGCAUUGGUAGCCGUGCUGGCUCGUUGUGCUGAUGGUGAUGAUGCCGUUCAGACCCGACAUCUUGAGCUUGAGGUAGGUGUAGUUGGGGACGGCCAUGAACUUAGCGUAACAUGGUCGCCCUAGAAUUGCGUGGUAGGUUCCUGGGAACCCCACCACGUCGAAAGUGAGGACCUCCCGUCUGAAGUUGUCGGGGUCCCGAAGUAGACGGGCAGGUCGAUCUGCCCGAGGGGAUGGGCGCGAUGUCCUAGCACCACUCCAUGGAAUGGUGAUGCAUCAUUCCUCAGCCGAGACUUGUUGAUUGCCAUGAGGGCCAAAGUCUCGGCGUAAAGGAUGUUGAGGCUGCUGCCUCCAUCCAUCAAUACCUUGGAGAGACGAGUCUCGGCGAUGAUGGGAUCGACGAUCAGUGGAUAGCUCCGGGGUUGGGGAUCCGAUCCGGGUGAUCUUGCCGAUCGAACGUGAUUGCACUCUCGGACCAUUUGAGGUACGAGGGCGCGGCUGUGCUAACUGCGCAAACUUCUCGGAGCUUGCGCUUCCUUUGACUCGUGGUGAGGCGAGCCGCACGUCCCCCAAAGAUCAAGAGGUAGUUCUUGACCUUGGGGAAGCCUUCUCCCUGGGCGUCGUCGUCUUUGGGAGGCUCUUCAGCGCCCUCCUUUGCUAUGAUGUCGGUGUAGUACCGACGUAGGACAGUGCACUCCUCAAGGGUGUGCUUGGUUGGUCCCCUGUGAUAGGGACAUGGCUUCUGCAACAUCUCGUCGAAGAGGCCAGGGCCAGCAGGAGCCCACUUGGGGUUCUUGCGAUCUGCCUCGGUGGUCUCAACCUUCUGUUUCCCCUUGGCAGUGCCAUCGGAGAAAAUUUCACCAACUGCCUCCUCACCCGAGGCAAAGUUGGUGGCGAUGUCGAGCAACUGACUUGUGCUCGUGGGGGUCUUGCGACCGAGCUCGUGUACUAGCUCCUUGUAGGUGGUGCCGGCAAUGAAGGCCCCGAUGACAUCGGAGUCCGUGAUGUUGGAGAGCUCGGUGCACUGCUUGGAGAAUCACCUGAUGAAAUCUCGGAGGGACUCAUCAGGCUUCUGCCGACAGCUCCUGAGGUCCCAGGAAUUUCCAAGACGCACGUAUGUGCCCUAGAAAUUCCCAACGAAGAUCCUGACUAGGUCCGCCCAGCCAUAGAUCAUACGCUCAGGAAGGUGCUCGAGCCACGCUCUGGCCAAAUCGGCCAAGUGGAGUGGCAAGUUGCGGAUGAUGAGCAGGUCAUCGUCCGCUCCACCUAGCUGACACACUAGGCGGUAGUCCGCCAGCCAGAGCUCAGGGUUAGUUUCCCCCGAGUACUUGGUGAGGUUAGCGGGUUGUCAGAACCGGGCAGGGAACUUGGCCCUGCGGAUGGCCUCGCUGAAGACGCGGGGACCCGGAGGCUCCGGCGAUGUGCUGCGGUCGUGGUCGGGGUUGUACCUCCCGCCUCGGCGCGGUCGGUAGCACCGAGACUCGGCCUCGUCCCUGUCACGCCGUCUGGCCUUGAGAGUGGCCCGGGCGUCCACGUUGGUCCCUACGUGUUCAUGGACAGACGGGGCCUUGUUGCCCCCUUGCGGAUUAGGGGGUGGUGGACCCUGCACUAUUGGUGUCUUGUUAGGAGGGGGUUGAUCCCCUUGGCGUCUUGUACCAUGGGACUGUGACGCAGAACUCUCUGCGUUUUGUACCACGGCUUGCUCCAGGAGGCCACGUAGCCCCUGGCGCACCCUUCUCCCCUCAGGGGUCGACAGCUCGGGCAUCGCUCUGAGGAGGAGUGUGGUAGCCAUCACGUUCUGGCUGGCCGUGCUGAAGACUGGGGGAUUGUCUCCCCCUUCGUCCUCGAUGAUGCGACGGUUGAUGUCCCGAGCGCGGCGUCUAGCCUCGCCUCCGUCCCCGCGGAUAGACUGGUCUUGCACCAGGGUCUCGCGUAGUUGGUGGAGGCGUGCGCGCUCUUCUUCGAGCCUGGCCUCUAGCUCGUCGAGCUGCUCGAGGUCAGGGCACCACCCUUCUACGGGGGCUGAUGCGGCCCCGUGUGCUCCAGGGUGGAUCCCGGGAGUCGUGUUGGGAGGUGGAGUUGCGUGCCUCCGCUCAGAGGGCCCUGCACCCCCUUGGGCGUUAGGGGAUGCCCCUCCAACCUCGAGGUUGAAACACUCUCGCGACGGAUCAUAGCCGCCAUUGUCGGAGUAGCCGAGGCAGUAGUUGCUAGCCUCAAGAAAGCGCAUGAAAGUUUCCGGGUCGCCACAACCGGAAAAAUCAGCGCCAGCCCAUUCGUCUUCUCUUGAGGUGGGAUCCUCGGGGUAUGACAAAACGGGUGGCGUAGCAAUAAGGUCCAGAGUAGACCUCAGGUGAUGCCCUGGAAGGUCCGCGUAUGCACAUAAUGAAGUGCUCGCAGAAGAAGCAUAGGUGGCGGCUGUUGUAACAGAACCGACCAAAUUAUAAGAGAUUAAGCCUAACAGCGACCAUUUGCAUAGUCAAACCAUCAGGCUUAAGCCCAUAUAAUCCCGGUAGUCCGUGAAAUCUUGAAGGAUUUCAAACCACACAUCGCAUAACAGCCAAGAUCGUAAUAAGUUUAGCGGUCGCCAUCCACAAGUACAUCUAGAUUACAACAUUCAUAAAAUACAUCAGAGUGCUCAAAGUUAUUACAAACCAAGUUCUUCAAGUAGCGGAAGCUUCAUAGUUCGAAAAUACGACACACACGCUUAGUCUGAUACAGUGCCAUAGUUCGGUCAUUCCCACAAAAGCAAAAGAAGAGACGGAGUGACCAUCGCCCUUGAUCUAGUCAUCACCCAUGGCUGGGUAUAGACAGAGGAUGCAAUAACCAUACUACAUUUGACCAUCUGCAAAACAACAUGGGAGUAGAACCCUGAGUACGAGAAGGUACUCAGCUAGACUUACCCGUCAUAAACUUAAAAUAAAGACUCAUCAAGGAUCAUGGAGGCUAUAUAGUGGGGUAGCUGACAACCAUUUGCCAAAACCGCAGUAUUUCACUAUCAUAACCUACAUAAGUAUCUCUUCUUUUAGUCUGCUCAAGUUGAAAGUAUCAUUACCUAUUAUCUAGGUUUGCACCUGCACUAUUACAAGCAAGUAUGAGACUAUGAUAGUACCUCAUCAUAGCAUUUCUUAAAACCAUUCAUCAUUAUAACCCAAGUGUUCCAUAGUCCUUACUACGAGGACAGGGCUCAUGUCAAGUGCUCACUAUCCAGGAGCGAUGGCGAUUCGAAUCGAUUUCUAACCAGCUGGCGAAUUUAUUCCCCACACAAACCACACUCACUGAUCAAGUGAGCUACAGGUCACCGUGCUGCACUAUCCAGGACCAAUUCGCGGGUUCGACAGGCACCGCCCGUACCCGAGGACUGUUCCGUCGACCGAGGUAUCCAAGGUAUACCAAGGUUGCGCGCCGCGCCCUCGUUGUUCUCCUCAACCAUCACCAAUACAGCGCGUACAUCGGGCCGAUUCCCGGCCCGGAUAGUGCUCAGGCUUCGCGGUCGGAACGACUUAUCCUUCCAGCUAAAUGUGGGGCAUGCGUUCAACAUGACAAGAGGGCCGUCAACGAUCGGUCCUUAAGCGACACAGGCAGGGGCACUAUGGUCAACCCACCAUAAGACCCUGCCCGGUCUCCAAAUUCAUUCCACACUUGGUCAUUCUUUUCCCGAGCAACCAAUGCUUAAUCAAGCAGGUCUCCACCUAUAUCUCGCAGGUGACAGGAAAUCACCCGACUUCUACUGGACUAAGCAAGCUAAGCACAGACUCCGUGCCUAUCUACAUAGGACAAGGUGGGUGUACAAGUAGGGAUAACAAGGAGUACACAUGCAGCAACGGUAUCAGGCAACUCCUAUCACUUAAUAUGCAAUACAGUAGAACAAGUAUAGUACUUCAUAUAAGUUAGCGAGGAUAGGGAGACUUAGAAUGCUCCGGGGCUUGCCUUUCUCAAAGGUGCUGGGUCGGUGAUCUGGACACUCCUGCAGUUCCUCUCCGGGUUCCGGUACUUCCGGAGGUUCCUGCUCCUGAAUCUCCUCUGGCUCCUCGGGUCCCACCUCGUUCUCCUGCGAGCCUGUAUGAUGCAUGUGUGCUCAUGAGUGGAGUGCGAGAUGCCCGAGGGAUGCUUGUAUGAGAAAGUCGUAAAGGAAUCAUGACAUGAUGCAUAGGUGAUGUACUUGGUCAUGCUUAUUACAAGGUAGUCAACAUCAUCCAAGAACAAUUAACUGAAUCAAGCAUCUAUUGCAUUCUCUUCUACAAAUAUUUUUCAAAUGCAACCAGCAACCCCCAUGAUGUUUCAAAGAUACACCAAACCCAACUUAUUCCAUUCAACCUACAUACACAACCAUUCAUAAUUUUCUUUAUUCAUUUCUAGGCCCAUUAAAAAUCACAUGCAAUUCUGUUCAUCAAUAAAUUCCACAAACAUUACAGGAGACUACCAGCUAAGCAUAAAGUCUACUGUAAAUUUUUCAUAAUUUUUGGUUACUUACUUUGAGCCACAAAAAUCACAAGAUUAAUUAAUAAGGUAAGUAUAAUCACCUUACUAUGAUAUAAGUGUCAAACAACAGAUUUCAUAUUUUCACAAUUUGUCUAAUAUCAUAAGAAACACCCACAAAAUUUUCCAGAUUUAUUGCAUGAUCUAAUUAAUUAUUAAAAAUCAUAAAUCACUGCCAUGCAAGCAUUUAAAUUACCAUAAAUUCAUUUAUACACCAAAUAAUAUGUAGUAAUAUUUUUCCAGUGAGUAAACACUCAUGCAAAGCUAACAAAACAAGUUUCACAUUUUUCAGAGCCAUAUUCUAUUUACUAUGCAUUUUCCAAAUUUAACAAAAUCAUGGAUUAAAUAUAUUCACACAGAAAAGUUACUUAAUCAUGACAUGCAAACAUACUAGGCUAUAGAUAUGGAAACAGGGAACACACCAAAAUUUAUUUUACAAUUUUUGGAGCUAUAUUCAUCAAGAUAUGGAUUUUUGAACAUUUAAAUCAUUUCCUGGAAAAACUUUUAAAACGGAAAGCCACCUAAAACGCUAAGCGCACCCGGAUUCACACCCUCGGAGUCACUGACAGGCGGGACAUGCGAGUCAGGGGACCCCACCUGUCAUCCACCCCGUGACCCCGCGGCCAAAGAUCGGCCGGAAUCUCGCCGCCGGUGAGGUUUCCGGUGACACCGUGAGCACCUACGGCUGCGCGAGAACGAGACGAGUCCAACCGUACCCUCUUUGGCACCGGACGAGCACCGGAACUACCUCGCCGUCGUGAAUGGCGGACGCGGCGGCGCUGCUCGCCGUGGUCCGGCCGUUUCACGGCGGUAGAGCGUAAGCUAGCGACGGGAAAAGGUGCGCGAGGCCAAGGCGGAUCCAAAGCACCUACGAACGCAAGCAGAGACAGAGAGGAGAGGGAGAACCGUGCGAGCCGAGAGGUCGCCGGAGCUCCGACUCACUCCGGUGAGCUCUAGCGGGCACGCAGGGCUUACCGAGCGUGGAAGAGCGCAAGCACGCGACGCGGAAGGACGAGGCGGAGCCGGUGGUGGUAGCGAAGAGGUAGGAGAGGGCCGGAGCUAGCCGGGAGAGGAGCUCCGAGCCGUCGGCGGCUAUGGCAUGCGGCGGAGCGGCGAGCGCUGCGCGAGAGCGAGCAGAGAGGCGAGAGCGAGCGGUGGAGGGCGCAAAUGGGAGCGGGAGCUUCGGCGGACGCGACCAGGGGCUCCUGGUGGCCGACGAGGGCUUCUCCUCGCCGUCGCAUGCCCGCCACGCGGCCAGGCUCUGCCGGCGCGCCACGGCGGCACGGCGAGGCCGUCCGCGCACGCGGACGCGGGCGCGAGCGCGGGGAGGGGGAAGGGGAAGGCGCGGGCGGGCCGGGCCGGCUUCGGCCAGCGGGCCAGAAGUGAGGCUGCGGCCUACUAGCGCCCCCUUUUUCCUUUCCUAUUUUUUUUUGAAUUUCUUUUCUCAAAUUCUCUUAUAAAUUCAUUUUGGCCAUUUUCAAAUCAUUUUCACCACUUUCUCCCAAAGGCAAAGUUGUUCCAAACUAAAAACUCUACAACUUUGCUUUAAUAAGCAAAACCAAAUUCCAAAUAGAAUUUGAACUACAAAUUAGAACUUAGUUCUAGGUUUUUAAAUAAAUUCUUUUUGGAUAUUUUGUAUAAAUUCCAUUUCUCAAAUUCCAUAGCUCCAAAAAUUACACAAAAAUAUUCUAAAUUCUUCUUACACAUAAAUCAACCUAGUUUGAAUAUUUCACAAUUUUAGGAGCAAGCAUCAUAUUUUUGACAUAUUUAUAACUCAUGAAGUGAAGCACAUAAAAUCAUAAUUUGAAAAGAGUGUCAUGCUCAUGAGGCUUAUGCUUGAUGGGAAUGCUUAUGCAUGACUUUGAUGAGACUAAGUGCAUGCUUAACACCUAGGGUGUUACAGCUGUGCUCCUGAACCCAAAAGGGAGCUCAGAAGAUGCCGCUGUCUUUCCUCCAUCCAUGGGUGGAGGGUGACGAGAAGUCGAGGCCCUCUGGUUCCUCUUCUGAGGAGGAGGUGGGAGCCGUGCUUUGCUCUUUGGCCGGGGCGAAACAGGAGGUCGCGAAGCCCCCCUGUUGGUCCGUGGAGUGGAGCUCGACGCUCCACGGGCCCUUCCUCUAGCGUCUGGCGGGCCAGAAGAAUGGGCGAUCUGGUGAGGGAUAUGCGGGGGAGGGCCGGACGGGCCCUUGCCUCGGUGGUCGGGUCAGAGAUCCUGGACAUCUGACGCCCUCGCCAGGCACCCCCUGCAUGGUGCCCCGAGCGCCUCCCGCGCACUUGCUGCGGUGGGAUCGGCUCGGGGCGAGGCUCGGUGUCGUCAUGUGGUGGGAGGAGGCCAUGUCAUAGCUGGAGCCAAGCGACAUGAACUCCAGACUCCCAAACAUCAUGACAAUGACGAGGCGGAGUGGGCGGAAUCUGUCUGCCAUCCGGGCUUUCCCUAGUAGGGAGAGGAAAAUACAACACAGAAAGUCCCCUACCUAGCGCGCCAACUGUCGGCGUCUAGACUCGUCGUCUAGGCACUAACGAGUAUAAGUCUGCGUGUCUACCUAAACCCGGAUGGUGAUGCACGUGGAACACAGAGAAUUUAUACUAGUUCGAGCUAAGGAUGCCCUAUGUCUAGUGUGAGAUCGGGGGUCUGUAUUGCCUUGCACCCAAGAGUGCUUGUAGUAGGGGUAUACAAGCGGGUUGCGAGAGAGGGCUAAGUCCCAGGUCUCGACUUUGUGUGGUGGACAGAGCGCUACUCGCUACUCUGGUGUGUGCGUGAACUUGCUUGGAGUUCUAGUGUUGUGAGCGUGGUGAGUCUACCUUGGAUGUGUGCCCUGGUUCCCCUUUUAUAGUCUCAAGGGGACACAGGGUUUUUACAUGUGUGACCGGUGAUCUUCUUCUGGUGAAUGGUGAAGCCGCAGUCCUGACCCUGUAGAGGCUUGCCCAUCCCGUCCUUGGGGUAUGGCUGACAGCAUGGUUGCUCCUGUGGAGGGUUGCCGAGCCCUGUUGAGAUCGUUGGGGUCGGAUCGGUGCUACUGCUGCGUGUCCUGUAAUAGUAGGAGAAGACAACCAACAGUGGCACAGGUUAAUCUCUUCCAUACCUCUUUUACUGUGAGGCGGUACUUCACAGUAAAAGCGGUAAGGCUGCAUAGUGAAAGAGGUAAGGCUACAGUGACCGGGGUGGUUGGAACAGUUGGUGCCAUGCCCUGUCGUAGUAUGGGGAUCACAGCGGACGUCAUGUCGAGGAUACGGUCAUCGUGCGUUGGAAGCCUGGCACCGAGAUGGGGACUCGGGUGAGGCGGAACUUGUGCCCAAGCCCAAGGGGGGUCAGGUGAGGCAGAACUUGCGCCUGAGCCCAAUGGGGGUCGGGCGAGGUGGAACUUGUGCCCGAGGCCAAGGGGUCAGGCGAGACGGAACCUGCGCCCGAGCCCUGGUGAUCUUGGGUGAUUUGCCUCAUUUCCUUUUUUGCGAUUUUUAUUUCUCUGAUUUGGGUGUCCCUUUUUAUGGUACCCAACACAUCUGCUCUUCCUCCACCGCCUACAAGACUACUGCUUGAAGGAGGUGCUAAGGGGAAGCAAAUUGCUAUCCCAAAGGGUACUGCGCUUCUUCCACCUAGAGCCAAUGAACGGCUCUUGUCCGUCCAAACCGACAAGAACGAGAAGUUGAUAUGUGCCAAGUACACCAUUGCUGAUCCUGUUAUCCAAGGAGUGCGUGCAAGCCCAAGAGGAAGAGAGCAACAUCAGCAUUAGCAUUGGAAAAAGUUCCCAAGCAGCCAGCUCCUACCCUAGGCAUCCUCAACGAGAAGCUUGAAGGCCUCUCUGACAUUGUCAAGGGAAUGGAGAAGUCCAAUAAUCUAAGGGACAAGCUCAUAGAAGGCAUAGACAAGCAGUUAGGGAUUAGCUUCAAAUUGAUCCGCAGCCUCAGGCACGAUAAAGACAAGCUUGAAGCAGAGGUUGCAACCCUCCAAGAGGAAAUUCAGGGCCUCAUUAAUAAAGGGCAGCCAUAGUUGCCUAGUUACCUAUUAAUAAGGCACAAUUCCACUAGGUUUGGUUAGUUAGUUCGGUCAGUCGAGUCAUAAAAUUUUCUUAGGACGAAGCCUAUUGAGCUAGGGCAGUCGUUAGCUCAGUCGUUAAAGCGUGUGUUAAAUUAUAUCACCGCCAUGAAUAAAUAAAGUGUCUUAUCUUUUAUCUACUCUAUUCUUCAUUUUUUUGUAUGUGUUUGUCUCCACAUAUUGUGUAGAAAAGUAUACAGGAAAAUAAGUGUGGGCGAGGCACAUCGCAAUCACAAAACGGAAAUUCAAUCAGAAAAAUAGCGUAAUUCGAAACACAAUCGAACCAAGAUCGCGCAUAGCAAAGCGAGGCCCACACUGCCCAAAGGUGGGGCCGGCCGGUGCCUAGGUGGGGACGGCCGGCGCCCUGCUCGCUCGUCUCCGCUGUCACUUUGAUCACGGUCAGGUUUGAGUUAUUUAUAGUAUAAUUGCAUAUAUUUCAUCUUUGAAUUGUCAUCCGAAUCAUAAAUCUUUAUAUUAAAUAUUUUUAAGAAAUAAUAAACUCAAUUUAAUCUAUGACUUAAAAAUAAAUUAUAUAACACUUUCCUAGAGUCAUGAUGAUUGUGAAAUUUAAAGUACUUCAUGUUUGCUUAAGUUAUUGUGGAAAGAAAUAUAGCAAAAUAAUGAGUACUCAAUUCCUCAUAAUUUGUCUUUAGAGAUUUUCUUUCAAAAAAGGUAAAAAUAAUUAGUUCCACCUCUCUUUAUAUUGGAAUCAAAUAAUAAUCAUAUUAUUAUUAUGACUUUGGUUGAGAGAUUUAUCAUAUUCCCAAUAUCAUAAAUAAAAACAUAAUACACUCUCUUGAAGCAUUAUUAUGAAGGAGGCAUGAGCUAUUCAUAAAGAAAUCCGAAGAAAUAAAAAGAGACAAGUGUCCGAAACCUCAAAAAGAGAUAGAUCACGAGGAAAUAAAAAAGGGACAAAUAUUCGAAAAAAAGAGAAGAGAAAAAAAUUGUCUUGGAGGGUUGCAAAAAGAGAGAGAGAGAGAGAGCUCGUGGUCGCUCCAACAUAAUAUGCCAAGGAGUGGAUAAUUUGUCUGAUCCAGAAAUAUGAUAUUUCCCUCCCUAGUUAUGAAUAUCAAAUUAAUAUCGCAACCUUGAUGCCACUACAAUUAAGAGAAGGUUGAAGAUAUGUUUUAUUUGCAAACUCCACUUACUUUCUAGUAGACAAAAUUUAAGAAAGAGAGUGAUCUAUUUUAAGCUAUCCUACUCUGCAAUCACUAUAGAAUUCAUGAUAAACACUUUAAAUUUCCUCAAUGCAUGAUGGCUAGACUAGUUUUAUAUAAUUUAAUUUCCAAGUUAUGCAUUAAAUGUUUACUCAUUACGAUAGAACCAACUUUUUUCUCAAGACGAGUAAAAGCCUAAGUGUAGGGGUAAUUGUUGACACCUGUUAACUUACAAAAUUUGUUAGUAUUUAUUUCUUCACUAGAUAUAAAUAUAUACUAGAAUAGGGUUAUCACUGACAAUUUCCACGAGUUUUGCAUAUUCUGUGUUUUCUAGAGAUUAAUUCAGAAAGAGCUAAAAAGAGGGAUUAAAGUGCUAAUCAACCACAAAACUUAUCCACGACGGAAGGAUGACACUAGAGGGAUCAGGAACACUCCAGAAGACACCAGAAGCAACGGGACCGGCAGAGGCCACCAGGUGGGGCCAGCCGGCCCCACCCUGGCGUCGUCUGGCCUCCUAUGGCUAGGGUUUUGGCCCCCCUUCUAGAAGCUUCCUCCACCACCCCGAAGGAGCCAUCUUAGCCGCUUGUUAAGUCGGUUUGAUCCAACGACGCGUGUUCAUCCCACCAGGCUAUAAAUAGAAGGCUAGACCCCUCUAGAGGAGGCUAGAUCAAGAGAUGAAGAGUUAGAGCAUUAGAUAGAGAUCCAUUAGAUCUAGGCUAGCAAUCAAGAUAGAGAUUAGAGAUAUAGAGUAGAGGAGUAGAGAUUCAGAGGAGUCCCGGCCUAUCGGAGCUUCCUCAGGAGCUGUAUUCGUCUAGAUUCUGCUCCCUCGCCCAGAGCUGCGUUCUAAGGUACUUUUGUAUUUACCAUUUUGAUUCAAGUAAGCAACUUGUUUGUAUUUGUUCUUUAGUUUGCAACUCAUAUUAUAUUGAGUACUACGAUUUGGGUAGCUCCUAGGUCGGAGUAGUGAUUCGUAGCGUAGAUGUGGUGUCUAGGCUAUGGUUGCUUGUGAAUGUCCCCUGAUCAGCCGGACAGUGGUAGUUCGCGUAGUGACUUUAUAGCUGCGUUGAUUCCUCUAUAGUCCACUUCCCAUUGAUAGGAUUGAUAGGCUUAUAGGUGCCUGAUAGGGGAUUACUCUAUUUCUUCCCCUAUUCGGGUUACUUGCCGGAUAAGAUGAUACUAUACAAAGUUUACCGGUUAUUGGAACCAGAGUACAUUAGUUAUUUCCUCAUUCUCAAUAGUUUUCUAGAUUGAUUGUACCCCCCUUAGAUUAAUAAUUAUAGGCUAGGUCAUAAAUCACCUACUAUUCCUUUGGGUUCGAUAUUAAAACCGGGUUGAUCUUAGUGAAGUGCUGAUCAACAUCUAUCUGUGCGGUUGCGGAUAAUCUGAUUAUAAUCAUUAUUAGGGUGAAGUUAAUUUAUACCAACAGCGUCCUCCAAUCUACCCUGAGCUGGAGGCCCAAUUAGAAAACCCUAAGCCUUGUCUAAUUCGGGUCUAACCCGAAUUAGGCUUCUAGCCACUCAAGCGUGUGACCCUCACUACACCACAACACCAGAUUUGGCGUCGGAUGAUCUGACGCUGAAAGCCGCUACAACGUCAUGCGGUCUGAUGCUAAAAACAUAUAGCGUCAGACUUCUGCAGACGCAGUAAGUGCUGACGCUAAAAACAUAUAGCGUCAGACCAGACUUUUAGCGUCAGAUAGUCUGUUGCUGUGUAAUUUUUUAGCGUCAGAUAGUCUCAUGGCAAUGUUUAGUGUCAGACACUCACUGGCCAAACAUAUACCGUCAGAUCAUCCAAUGAUCUACAUAUAUAUAGCGUCAGAUUGUUCAAUGGCACAAUUUGAAUAUCAAAAAAAUAAAAAAUAAAAAUAUUUAGCACAUCAAACCCACGUUCAAGCUCAAUUUCAUUACACACAAAGAUAUAAGGUCACACAUGAUAUGGAGGUCGAUACAUAUAUAUUGUACCACACAAUAUCUUAUCUUGCACAUUACAUCACACUACAUUAUCCAAAAAGUCACACAUACAAUCUUGUCUUGCAUAUUACAUUAUCCAACAAAAGCUUACAUGAAUGCACACCAGCAAGAUUUAUAUAGUAGUUUGUGUUUGAUAUAUAAUACUAAGGUUGGUGCAUACAAUAGGAAAUAAAAACCCAAAAGCACAUCCACCAGGUUGUGGAGAACCAUUUUCCAUGAACUUAAGCCAAACACUUGUGCCCCACACUUCCUAAAAAAUAUAAUAUGUAAUUAGGCAAGUAGAGAAAAUAAUGUAAAUGUGUGAGUACGAUCAUCUGUUCAAAAGAAUAUCUCUUCUACUUGCUAGCUGAAAUCUGCUUGCUAGCAGAUCAGUCGAGUGCAAAGGCCUCUACCUAGCAGCACUGGGCAUCAACUGAAGCUCGAUAUCACAGGACCAUUGAUUGGUAUAUAUAUAUCCUGUAAGGAGGAAAAGAGAAAUUAAUACUAUAUAGUACAAAACAAGCAUCAAAGCAAUGAUAAACGUAAGAUUCUAGACAAAGCUAGGAAAUACAAAUAAAUGUGGAGUCGUUAUAAAUGUCCGAUACAAACGGAUUAGCUAGCAUGUAACAUACUAACAGAACCUAUCAAGUUACUUCCAUAAACAAUAUUCUUUGGAUCAUUUCUAUGCUCAUUCCCUUGCAAGCACUAAGUUACAGUCCUUUGUCAGAGUGAGGUAGCAUGGUUUUAUAAAUUUAUGCCUGAUAUAAACCUAUUCACAACUGUUGACCGGAAUAAGUAGAAGAUUAUAUUGUGUUGCAAGUUUCUGACUGCAUUUAAAAACCAGUGGUGACAAGAACAAAUUUAAUAUUUUGGCGACAAUAAUAAGGAGAAGAACAUUAUAACUAGAAAUGUAAGUAAACUUAGAUCUCAAUCUCAGGCAGAAAGUAUAAUCAAUUGAGUGGAGUUAAUAACAUCACACAUGUAAGCAUGCCCAUGUUUUAUUCCUCACUAAAAUCUGUAAAAAUAAUAAUCACCUCCUCUUAAGGAAAAAUAACCACUUGAAGACGGAAACUGGGACCAUUUCCACCUGUUUUAGUACAAGUGGACUGACUAAAUCUCAUCAGAAUCAUCAGCGGCAAUCCCAGGCGCUCAUUCCGACCGAACGCCUCCGCAAAAUCCGGAAAUUUAGCGAGCCCGGACUAGCACCGCCCACCGCAGGCAGCGUGCAGCCCCCGUUGAAUGACAUUCAUCACAGACAGGCCGAGGAGCUGGCGUGGGGACUGGGUACUGACUCACCGCGGGACGGAUCUGGGCGCUCGCGGGCAAGGAACGGCCACAGCGCCGCCUCCCUCCUCCUGCGGCGGCGUAGAUCAAAGAUUUAAUCAAAAAGGCCCACUGGAUAAUCCACCGAAACCGCGAGACAAGAGAGCACGCCAACCUGGCUCGCUGAGCAGCCGCUGUGUCUCCUGCAUAGAUCCAACCAUGGCAACCAAAAAGAGGUCAGACAAAACAAGCGAGGGCACAACGAAUCGGAUCGGAUGCGGGCGAGAGAUCUGCUCCGGGGUGGUUAGAUCGGGCGCGCACCUUGAUGAUCCGCCGCGGGAGGUUGCUGUUGGCCAUCGGAUCGGGGCCGGGGUGCGGGCUUCCUCCUCGGCGAAGUUGCGGCACCGACGAUGCCUUGAGGAUGGCGCGGGGGAGGAGGAGCAGUCGGUCGGGGUGGGGAACGGGGGAAGCGGUGGUGGGUUGGAGUUGGACGCUCGCUAUUGUACGCGGACGCGGUUUUUGCUGCAGUGGUCUACCUGCGUCCUGUGCUUUGGGUUUUAUUUUUUUUUGAUUCAUGUGCUUUGGGUUUUAUCUCAGCCCUGUCACGUUACCUCAACGAUCGUGAUUAAUCGCAGUGCCUUGUUCAGGGUAGUGUUGUUACUUUUUUCAAAAAAAAAGAAAGGCAUAAAGUGAUGGCAUGCAUUAUGCUGCGUUAAAGUUAUGAUGAUUGAUUGAGUAGAAAUUCGCAUCAAGUCCAACUUAUAGAAAUAUGAUUUUUACAGGCGGUUACUUAGGAGAACCACCCGUAGAAAUACAUGAUUUCUACGGGCAGUUUUUGAGUUGGGCCCGCCAAUUUAUUUUUACACCUGUAAAAAUUAAAUUUCAGCGCCAGCUUAGAGCUUCUUUGUACUAGUGUUUCUAAAGAAAACUGAGCACGGGCAGGCAAGCGAGGGUGGGGCCCAUUAUUUUUCGCGUCAGAGAGGUGGACGGUGUACCUUGUUUUCGCGUCAGAUAGUUAGACUCUGAAUAUAAAUAGCGUCAGACAAUAGCACGCUAAAUUCAGAUUUAGCGUCAGAUGGUCUCUGGGCGAUGUUUAGCGUCAGAUCAUCUAACUAAAAAAAAGAUUUUGCGUCAGAUGUCUGACGCUAUAAAAGUGUUGUGGUGUAGUGCCUAUGGAUUCACAUAUAUAUAGACAUGGGCCAAGUACUCCUUACUCGCCCAAUAGUUGACAGUGGCCUCUGGCUAGACGUGACAACACCUAUACGCACGCAAAGAUCAUAUCAGACGAACCACUGCAAAACACAUAGGUGUUAUUCCCUUACCACAUGAUAUUUGGUCCAACUCAUGGGUUAACAUUUAACCCAAGCACGACCAUGCAUUUGUUGACCCAAUCACUUAAGUGAUCUAGUGAUAUCUCUCUCACAUAAAGAGGGGCAAGUUCUAUCUUGAUUAUCUAUGUCUCACAGCAUAUUUCCUGACAACCCCAUAGACCACCUUUAUAACUACCCUGCUAUGGAAUAGCGUUUAAUAGUCCCUAAGUAGGUCGUUUCACAUCUUGAGAACAUACGACAAUCUCAGGUCUAAGGACAUAACAUACAUGAUGUAUAAAGAGAUAAUAAGAACAUCUCAUAUUGGGUCUGUCUAGCCCAUGUCAUACAUGUGCUCACAUUAUUAGUUUGACAUCUUUAUGUCUAUGACUUGUGAAAUAUAGUCAUCAACUAAUACAUGUGCUAAACUAAUAUUCAUGUGUGUCCUCAUAGGAACUGUGAUUAGGGACAACUCUAGAAUAACCAUACAAGUAAGUUUCACAAACAAUUCAUAUAAUUGUCAAUCGUUACAAGUUUGUCUAUAAUAGAUAUUCAUUGAACUCAUAAUAUAUGUCAUGGAUACAAUUGUAAUAUCAUCAUUUCUAUGAUUACCUCUAGAGCAUAUUCCCAACACAUUUAUGUUGUACCAUUUCUUUAAUAUUUAAAAGCUAUAACUUAAUUUAUAAUAACCACAGCAUCCAUAAUAUAAGUUAAUGUGGCAAUAAUAUGAAAAUACCAUAUGGAGUUCUAAAAACUUUGGCCUUAGUAUUAAUUUCUAAAAACUAUAAAAUGAAGUGGUUCUUCCCACAUUUUUUUUUCUUUAAAACAAUAAUAUGUAAAAUUCUCUGUUAAGCAUGUAUUAAUUUGAAAUACAACCUUGAUAUAUUUUACUAUUUCAAAGGUUAGAAAUAUUUACACCUAAAUAUAUCAUACCUUUAUUAUUCAUACUAUCUAUAAGAAAAAGAUAUGUUGCUAUAGUUAAUAUGGAGUUUAGUCCUUAUUAGUAAUUGCAGAGUUAUAUUUAUUUAUAAUGGAUUGAAGAACAAGUUGUUUAAAAUUUUCAUUUAUGAUUUAAUUAGCUAAUCUAGGUUUUAAUUUGAUUAAGUUUUUCUGAGAGGUAGUGCUCUCCACGCCUGCCACGUGCGGUGAUUAAACUACAACACAACCUAGUGCUUAAAAUCUUUGUUUCAUAAAAAUUACAGAAGGUUUAAUGGUUGAAAGGCCCACAGGUUAUAUUAUAUAUUUAUUUGUAUGUCUACAAGAAAAACAAAAAGAAUAGAAACACAAUAGGAGGUAUAUAAAAGGAAACAGUUAAAAAAAGCACAGAGGAACGGGCUAAAAUACUUGCAGAGAACAUAUGUUAGACGAUGACAUGACUCGUCUUGAAAGCUUUUAGCACAUGCAAGGAUCAGAUUAAGGCACUCACAAUGCAGACUCUAUCAUAGAGUCUAAAGUUAUUUAUUACCUCGAACAAUGUGGACUUAGAGUCUAAAUAAGACUUAGAGUCUUAUUUUUUCUACCUCUUUCUUCAGUAAAUGUGAUGCCACAUUAGCAAAAUACCAUAGAUAAUAUAUAAUUGAUUGUCUUGGACUCUGUGAUAGAGUCAUGCAUUAUGAGUGCCCUUAAUGGGCAGAUGUAUGCAUUCAAGUAAUUAAUUAUGUGCUAGAAUUUACACUACAAGGGAUGAAAAGUGAAGUAAAGGAGGACCCAUGCACUGCGGUAGGCACUUGAGGUAUCCUAGCCACAACCAUAUCCUAGUCAGUUUGAGAUAUCUCAAUAUCAAUUUAAUUAAUAUAUGUAGGAGGUUUACACUCCAAGAUUUAGAACAUUGAAUUAUAGCAAUAUGCAAUAUGGUACUCGACGGCGCAUGUUCGGCUAGGAUUCUAACAGAUGGCAGUGUCUCGGUCGGUCUGAGAUAUCUCGAUAUCAAUUUAAUUAAUUUAAUAUAUCCAAUACAUGAUAGUUAAGAAAAAUAAACCAAAAAAUAGGGGGUGAGAAAUUUUGUCUCUUUAUUAUUAGGUGUAGAUAUAUAUACUUUACCUCCGAAAUCCAAAAACUUUUCAAGAUUCCUCAUCACGUCGAUUCCUACAACACAUGUAUGGAGCAUUAAAUAUAGAUAAAUGUAACUAAUUGUACAGUUUGCCUGGUUAGACAAUAAUUACCAAAUACAAACAUAAGUGCUAUAGUGUGAAAAUCCAAAAAAUUUUUAGAUAUAAACCAGUCCUUAUACUAUAUAUAUAGUAUAUAUAUGAAAAUUACUUCGUAUUCCUAGGAGUAAUUACUCUUAUAUCUAUAUCUCUAGAUUUAUGGUGUAUAUGACUGAACAAAAUAUAUGUAGACGAAGUAUAUGAUCAUACUAGACCAUCUAAGGUGAUAUGUAUGUUAAGUAUGCAUGCAUACAUGGAGUACGUGGUUAUAUUUAUUAUAUAUACUACAAUAGUGGUAUUUUAGUAAUAUAUUAAAAUAUUUAUUAAAUUUUUUGAGUGGUAAGAUAUAAAGUAUUUUGAUAUGAGUAUAUAAACAUACUCAAACUGAUAAACAUGUAUGAACACAUACGUAAUGUGGUUUAUUGAAGAUUGGAGUAAUUACUCAAGAGAGUAUGAAAAAUGCACCCUAUUAUAUAAUAUAUGUAUAUCUAUACACACAUACAUUAUAUCUCUUACAACUAAAAAAAUAAAAAAUGGACAUUUUUUGGUGCAACAAUUCUUUUGUCCAUCUGCUUGCUGUUGGCAUUUCUUAGCGUCACUACUAAAGAUAGACUAUAAAUCCAUCAUUAGCAAUGGCACCAGAAAUGUCGGGUGUUGGUAUACCAUAACUAUCGUUAUGUCAGAGAGAUAACCCAAGGCCUUUAACGGCGCGGGCCUUAGCCGUGCAGUCUGGUAACAAUAAUUAGGAAUGCCGGAUUGGCCAUCCUAAACAUCCCUACUUACAAUAUGCAAAGCUGUAGCACGGCGCUAGAUAAAUGCACAGAGUUUACAAUCUUAAGUAACGAUACUUAGGUACGCCAAUCAAUAGUUCAUGAAUAUAAAGAAUAAAACUGCAAGCGAACAGAACUAUCAUUGUAGCAUUUCAACCUGUGAGUAUUCAAGGGUUAUCGUAUUUAAUCCCAUAGGAGGGCAUAACAAAUGCAUCUAGCUUGGUUUGUAGCAUGAUCACUUAUUGAGAUGCAUAGGUAGACAUAGUCUAAUCAGCGGUAACGGCAGGCUCUUAAAAUAUGGAUAGUGGACACACUCAUCGGGGCGGCCUCAAGGAAUAAAGAGAAAAUAAGGAAAUAAAAGAAAUAAAGAACAACUACUUGAGCCGGCAUUGAUCUUAUAUACCUAUGCAAAGAAUUGUUAGUAGAACAUCUAAUCAAUAUAACUAGAGUUAGAACUAAGUCUGAGGCUCUAGGGAGAUCCCCGCAGCUGGACAUCCAGCCGAUAGGGACUUUACAGAACUCCUACCGGAAUACCUGAUCGUGGGGGAAUACCAGGAAUGACAGGGCUGUCACUACCCUGCCACCUACCCCUCUACCCGAAAGAUACCCACGCGUCCGCUGAUCUCCGCAUACCUGAGCACCUUGCCCGUGUAAUUGGAAACGCCUCCUAGCCUCCCGGGACCCCAACCCUUCAGAUUGACAGGCUCGGCUAAGAGUAGCCAUCACAACCCAACGAACCGUUACCCCAAUCUUAAUCCUUUGUCUAUUCAUACUAAUUCGAUGAACCAUGAAGAACAAGGAUGAACACAUCAAGAACAUAGCACAAGAACUAAGAACUAGUUCAUAUACUAUGAACAAGAUAUGAACACAACUAUACUCUAAUUCAAUUGCAUAAUCAUAUAAAUAAGAUAAGAACUUGCUCAUGGAGGAGAACUGAAUUGUAUUCAUACUAAGAAGCUCUAAGAUACUCCAAGGAGACAAGCUCUCCUUGCUAGCUUUGCCUUGCUCUGCUACUGAAUCUAAACUAAAGAACAAGUGUAGAGAUGUGAGGUGUAUUGCUCCAAAUGAUGGUGUGUGUGUUGAAUGGUGUGGAGCCAUCUAUUUAUGGCCCAACAAGGACGGUUCAUGGCGAUCUAAAUCUGAUAGGAGGUGAAACCGUCCUAUGCAUGCCGCCAUGCAACCGCGUGAAAAAGGUUGGACCGAGUUGCCGCCACGGGGGGUGCGCCCGCACAGGGUACGGACGCACCACUGGUGGGCCCCCCUGGCCACCGCCUUCGCGUGGUCGGUUCGUCUCUAGGCCCUGAUCCUUCUAGUGGUUACGGAUGGAUCCAGUUCGGUGUUUUGGUGGGCUUCUCCAUUUAUCUUUGAUUCGCGCCUUUUCUGAAUACGCUUUCUUGAAGUGCGCUUUCUCGUGUCUUUUGUACCUUUUCACGUGUCAUACCUAAAAUUUAUAUUUGCAACAAAACUGGUGGAAAGGUUAAUUCAAAGCCCUACCAUCUAUUUAUUUUAUUUAUUAAAAUGAUGUUUACAAUUAUAAGAUAAGGGGUACCAACAACUCCCCCACACUUGGCCCUUUGCUCGUCCUCAAGUGAAGGCACUAAAGACCAAAUGGGUUCAUCUUCCUUUUCAAAAGAAUCUGCAUACAAGUUAUUCCCAGCUUCACCUGGAUUUAUGAACUUCAAAGUGUCUACCAAGCUAUCUUGGGUAAUUGAAACAUGGAACAGCCUAGAUUCAAAUCCUCUUACAUAGUCCCUGCGCAGAAACUUGGGAUUUUGUAAGAUUUUGAAAAAUAAAGAUAGCAUAUGUUUCUUGAAUGAUGCUCUCAAGUCCCUCCUAAUAUGUGAGUGGUUCCUUACCAAGGCAUAAAGAGUUGAUGCCUUCUUUUUGAUCAUCCUACUUCUAAAAGGCUUAUCUGGAGUUUUGGGUAGGUAUGAUGGUGGAACUUACUUACCCUGCAUAUAUUGUCGAGUCAAACCCAGGACCAUACCAGAGGGAGUGCGCCAUACCCUUAGAUCAGAAUGUGCAAGUGUGUGGAAUUUUUGGUGGAAUCCUAUCACUACUUUUAUUGCAACAUUCCUUGCAUCAAGAAACUCUUUUUGAAAUGAGAUGAAAAACUUGAGAGGAUAUGGGCUAUAACACAAAUUUUAUUUUGUUUUUUGGACGGGUAUGAAUUUUCCCCGUUUUGCCCCUUUGGCUUUUUCUCAUAGUAAAUUUUUUUAUAUAUAUAGCCCAUUCCUAUGAUUCUGUUGAAACGAAAGAGAGCUUUAUAAUAACAAAUGCAAGGAAUGUAUAUGAAUGCACAAUUCUCAGGGUGAGAUAUUGGAAUUUUUAUUUGGUGGAUAUAUGUGCGCAACCCUCAGUGUAAGAGUUGGCGAAAUUUUGGGUGGAUGGAGAAAGCAUGUUGUGCGCGACUUCUCAGUGUGAGAGUCGGCUUUUAUAUGGUGGGUGCAAGUGAAUUCUGAUCUUAGAGGCAUGAAACAUCUCUCGACAGCGGUCCAAAAAUUUGACCAAACUCAACACAGAGCAAGCAGCAUAUGUAGAAGGUUUAAUCGUGAAUAAAUAUUUGGCCAUGGUUGGAAUAAAGCUUGAUCAUUCAAGAAACUUGCUAUUGAAUUUUGCUUUUUAUAAAAGAAAACCCAAGUACUUUGCAAGAACCAGCAAGCAUCAUGUCAUCCUACUAUAUCACAUACGUCAAUUACUUAGAUAAAAUGGGGUCCCUAUAACAAGUGUUUAUCAAUCUCUAGGGAUAUUAGCUAAGAAUAAAAAGUAUGAAAAAGCAUAUUUGAACAUAGGAGACAUGUUUGAUGGAGUACGAAGUUAACAUCAUUUUAAACAUUUCAUUUGAAAAUCUUUUUGGGGGAAGAGGGUUUGCACAAACCGAGAUUUUUGAUUGAAUAGUCCUUCCCCCACACUUGUUUUCUUUCCUGUCAUGGUUAGUCACAAUAUAUAUAGAAAACAAGUGCACAAGAUAAACAAACUUUUUUUUAUUGAUAACUUUGAAUAGGCACAUUACAUUGGAAGGGAAAAAUAUUUGAAACAUAAAUAUUGUGAAAAGGAAAAAUGUGCCUAAACAAAGAUUCAUGCGGGAGGUGUGGUCUAAAGAUCUUCAACAAGGCGACCAACACCUAAGGCUUCAGCGACCUUUCUAAGUUUAGUAUUAAACUUGAAGCGAAACCUAUUAACAUCAUCACUGAGGUUCCUAAUCUCAGUGUUCUUUUCCUCUAGGUCGUCUUCUAAAACCCGUAACUCAGCACGUAGGCUAGCCUGCUUAGCUAAAAGCUCGGCUAUGAUAUUGGGAUCAUCUUCUUCAUCGCUGCUCUCAUACUGUCCUGCACAAUGCUUGAUUGAUGGCUGUGGCAAGUGCCUCCUGAUCCUAGGGAGAGUACUGGACGAUUCCGUCUUCUUGGCCUUGCCACCCAUCUUGCUACCAGCAUGAUUGCCUUGCCUAUCACCACUAGGGGCUUUUCUCUUAAGUCAUAUGUUGCUAGUGGAUGAACGGGCAGUAGCGGGUAUGUUGGCGGCGCUAUUGGUGGGUGCUUUGUGGUUUGCUAGUAACAACGCUAACGACUUUCUCUUCUCAACAUGGACCUCCUUGCUAGAACUCUCUUGGUAAGGUGCUAUGUCUAGAUUGGCUAUGGUCUUGGGAGCAUUGAUCAGUGAGAGGGCAUAGCUAGACAUGGUCACUACUGAAGAAUGGGAGAACUUAGCAAUCUUCACAAGAGGGAGAUGAGAAAUGGUUGGUGUGAGAAGAGAAGAGGCCUAUGGAGGAUUUUAUAGGUGCUAACCCAGUCUCUGAUCUGGAAACAACUUGAUCGUAACCAUGGACGUGAUGCUAAUCAGUGCAGAAGAGGAAGGGAAAAGAUUGGGGCCGAUUGGUGGUCCUGGGGGUGCGCCCGCACCAGGGUGCGGCCGCAUCACUGGGUCCACCAGUCGGCCUUAGUCUUUCGGGUAUUUCUUUCCCUAUCUGAGUAUUUCACGAUCCUGGUUACGAUCAAUCGUGAUGCGCAGUGGAAUCAGAGUGAUAGUGUGUGGGAUAGAGUUUUGAAUUUUGAAAACUUUCUAAAAGCUAUCACACUAUCAUGCAUUUAUGAGUGAUUGAUACCCAUGAUCACAAAGAUUCAAAAAAUGAAGAAAAGAUCAUAGGGGCAAUAAAGGACUACUCAUAAAUACAACAAAUGCACCAUUUAUUCAAAACAUAAAUAGAAAGAAUUUGUUCAAAAUAAAUAAAUAAGUAAAAAGAAUAUAUAUAUAUAUAUAUAUAUUUAUAAGUAAAAACUUACAUAGGGAUAACUUACCGAUUUACCUUCGGCGAGGGCUCAUCUUUAUAGUCCGUUGAGCGAGAUUCUUCUGCCAUUACUUCUUGCUUGAUGAUGGCACAUCCGUCUUGGGAGGAGUAGACGGUUGCACCUGCUUGGGCGUCCACUUUAGUAGUAUCACCUUUGGAGGUGUGGAAGUUUGUUCAACCUUCUGCUUUGGUUUCCACACCUACUUCUGUUGUGAAGGCUUGGGGACUUCAUCCCUCUUUUCAUUCUUUUUAGGAGCUAUUUUCUUUUUAUGUUCCUUAUUAUUUUUCUUACGAGCCGCCUUUUCUUUUGGCUCCAGAUUUUUCUUAGAUAUUUUUGUAUUUUUAAUAAGUUGAGGCUGGAUCUCAACCUGCCUGAUGCCUUAGGGGUUUGGCCCAUAGAGGAUGCGUAUCAUGUUACACUCUUGUUGACGGCAUGGCCUGAACUCGAACUUCUCUUCUUGGCCAUUAAUGUUGAAGUGGAUUUCUCUAGCCCCAACAUCAAUCUGUGCUCCUGUUGUACUCAAGAAUGGUCUUCCUAGGAUUAGUGGUGUUUCUUUAGUGAGCUCCAUGUUGAGCACCAAAAAAUCCACUAGAACAUAGUAUGCUCUGAUCUUGACAGGGAUAUCUUGAGCAAUCCUUGCCUAGUACCGGACUGACAAGUCUGCCAACUGGAGUGUCAUGGUGGUUGGCUCCAAGUUGGUGAAAUUCAUCCUGUCAAAGACUGAUUUCGGCAUGACGCUCACACUCGCCCCCAAAUCACAUAGGGCAUGGUCGAAUUGCUGGGCCCCAAUUGAGCAAGAGAUUGUGGGGCACCCAGGAUCCUGUUUUUUCUCGGGCAGCUCAUUGUGUAUAGCUGUGCUACAUUCUUCUGUCUGCUUGACAACUUCAGUGGACGGCAAUGGUCGCUUCUUGUUGAUGAUGUCCUUGAUGAACUUGGAGUAGGACGGAAUAUGCUAGACAUCCAUCAACGGUACACUGACAUGCGUCUUUUUGACCAUUUCCACGAAGCGGAGGAACUAUUCAUUUCUGUCCUUCUUCUUCCUCCUUUCUCUUGUAGGAAAGGGUAGCAUCAUGGUGUCCCCAUAGUUGUUUGGGGUCGGCUCGUCUUCCAUGGAUUCUUGUGAUGGUUGAGCCGGCCCUUCUGCCUAUGUUUCCUCCUGUUGCCGUGGCGCCCUUCCUGUCUUUUGGUUAGGAUAACGAGGAUCACAAGUGGUCUUACCCCCUCUCGUGCUCACCGCAUUUACAUUUUCCACAGAAUCAGGAGAAACAACAGCUUUAGCGGUAGAAGCAAGCUGAGCUACUUUUAACUCGAUCUUCUUAUUAAAAGCUAGCUGAUCUCUAACAGAAAGGGUCAAGCUAUCAACCUUUGUAUUUAUGUUGACAAACAUUUGAUCGUUUUUGGAAAGCUUUUUAACAAUAUUUUCAUUGAUUUUGGCCUGACCUAGCACAAGAUCUUUCAGCGAAGGCUGGGAGGAAUUAAAAUUGGAGUAAUUACCUUGGGAGCGGUUCUGGUUGUUCCACCCAUUACCUUGGUGUUGUUGGCGGAACCCGUUGUUGAUGAACGAUGCGUCCUCCUGGGUUCCAGGGCAAUUGAUCCCCAUGUAGCCAACAUUCCCAUAUUCCUCGCACGUCAUGCGUGAGUCGAUGGCUUGGACAGUGCUGGUGGUAGGAUCAGUGGCCUAUGUGUCCAAUCUCUUCAUUAGUAGGUCUAUUUUUGCGGCAAGCAGAUCCGUCUCCUUCACGGUAUGCAUGCCUUUUUGUGUUUUGCGUCCCUCUCCCCAACUCUGGUUGGCUACCAUCUUCUCAAUUAGUGCUGCAGCAUUCUCGAUGGUCAGGGAGAGGAAUGCGCCUCCAACAGUGGCAUCGACGUGCCCCUUAGACAUGGGCGUGAGCCCCUCGUAGAAAUUCUGAAGCAUGAGCCAAUCUUCCAUCCUGUGGUGGGGGCAGGCCCGGAUGUACUCCUAGAGCCUUUCCCAAGCGUCAAGAAUGGAUUCGAGUGAAGUCUGCUGGAAGUUUGAUAUCUUUCCCCUCAAAGAAAUUGUUUUGCUCAUGGGGAAAAAUUUCACGAGGAACACCACGACAUAUUUGUCCCAUGUGUUGACAACUUCCUUGCUCUGGUAGAACCAUUGGUUCGCCUUCCCUGAGAGGGAAAAGGAAGACAAGCGGAGCUUGACGCUUUCAGGUGCGACAUCCUUGAUGAUGAUGGUUUCGCACAGCUCAAGGAAGUUCUGUAGAUGUGCGUUUGCGUCCUCACUUGGCAAACCACAGAACUGGUUUGCCUGCACCAUCGUGAGUAGGCCAGUGCGAAGCUCGAAGUUUCCAUUCCUAGUGUUGACUGUGGGCCCAACGGGUACGUUGGCAACAACGGGGGUGGAAUAGUCGCGGAGUGACCUGGCCAUGGUGGUUGAAACGGAUGGUGCGGGGGUGAUUGGUUCGACUGUCGGCGGUGUGGCAGAGGAAGAAACGGCACGAGUCCUUUUCUUCCUUAGGAGUGCCUCCGGAUUGCUGUUGAAGUUUGCCGGCAAGUUGAAACCGCUCAUACACUAUCCUGUUUUCAUUCCAAUAAAAAUAGGAAGAAAACAGCAAAGAUUGGCCUGCUUAAACUAUGGCUACCAAUGCUUAUUUUGUAAUCAAUGCUAAAUGCCAAAGCUAGAUGUUUGCAUUGUUCUUUGCCCUCCCCGGCAACGACGCCAGAAAUGCUUGUUGGCAUUUCUUAGCGUCACAUAUAUUAGCGUCACAUACAUUAUAUAAUAUAUGUAUAUAUAUACACACAUACAUUAUAUCUCCUACAAGUAAAAAGAAUAAAAAAUGGACAUUUUUUGGUGCAACAAUUCUUUUGUCCAUCUGCCUGCUGUUGGCAUUUCUUAGCGUCACUACUAAAGAUAGACUAUAAAUCCAUCAUUAGCAAUGGCACCAAAAAUGUCGGGUGUUGGUAUACCAUAACUAUCGUUACGUCAGAGAUAUAACCCAAGGCCUUUAAUGGCGCCGGCCUUAGCAGUGCAGUAUGGUAACAAUAAUUAGGAAUGUCAGAUUGGCCAUCCUAACCAUCCUUACUUACGAUAUGCAAAGUUGUAGCACGGCGCUGUUGGGUAUUCUUAACGUCAUUACCAAAAGUAGACUUAGUUUUCUAAUUCUGAUAAUGACGCCAAAAAUGCCAAACCUAUCCCUCAUACCACUUAAGCCAAGUUGUCAUCCCCAGCAUGACAUGAGAGACACGGUAUAGAAAUAUGCAAUUGCUCAUCUAAAUAAAUAAUAAAUGGGAUCUGCAAGCGCAUAGAUUAAUACCGAUGUAGCAUUUUAACCGGGAAGUAUUACAGGUAUCGUUAUUUAUAUUUUUACCACCGGAAAGGGAUUAGUAAUCAUCAAUGUUGAUUAUAGAAUGGAAUAUAAGAUCGAGUAUCUAUCAUUAUAUAUAUAAUUGAGAACAUUUAUCUAUAUCUUUCAUACAGGGAUAAGUGUCACAUAAAGGAUAUAUAAAGUAAUGAAUAGUGACAAAGAUAAUUAAUCUGAUCAGCAUAACUUAGCCACAUAUAAAUUUGAUAAGCACCUCAAUUAGAUAUUCUAGCAAGUCAUUAGCAUGGUAUUAGGGCGAACUACAAGAAUAUUUCCUAAGUUAUUCUCAACUAUACAGUCUAGCAUUAUCAUAGUUAGUGCAAUUGUACUUAGCAAUCAUUGUAAGACAGGACUACGCCCAUGCAUAGUGAUAUUAUCAAGGAAUAUGAGAAACAUCGCAAUCACUCUCCUGUAAUAAUGUUGCUUUGCCAGCCCUAUACACGAGAGGGGGACUAUAUAAGAAUCAAUGGAGCUGUCACUACCACGAACUACCCCACGAUCUGGCAUAUUGGGUACAACAGAAAAAUACGGUAUAAGCACCACGCUUACACAAUAUCUAUCAUUUACCCAUGGAUCCGAUGGAUAAACGCUAUACGAUCCUAAAAAUGUAUAUAAUUCCAAUCUAACUAAGCCAAGUAUAUAACUAUGAUAAACUAAGGACAAUAUAAUUGUGAAUAUAAACAAGUAGAGCAAAGUCAUAAUCAAUAUAUUGAAGUAGAACAAAGUCAUAUUCAUAAUAUGAAGAACAAAGAUGAACAAUUGAAGAAAAAUAGAGAAUUACCAAGAAUCCUCUUGACAGAUCCAGAAACCAAUCGAAGAUUGACUCAUUCUAGUUCUAAUCCUAUGUAGCUAUGCUAAUCUAGAUAUCUAAUUGAUGUGGUGGCUCUAGGCUUGAUUAGAGGCUUCUUCUCCCUUGAUGAAUAAUGAAUUAGGGUUGAGAGGUCCUCUCCUCCAGGGGCUAGGGGGUCUGGUUUUAUAGUCCUUCCAAGUGAAUAUCGGCCGUCAGAUCAAACCGACAUUGAUUGAACGGUUAUCCUUGAUCCUUUAGGUCGGUGGAGCAUAAUCCCGAAAGAGAGUCCUGAUUGGACUCCAACAGGGGGCGGGCGCCCUGGUCCCUAGGGAGGGCGCCCUGGGCCAGGCUCCGUUUUGACUCCGCUUCGUUCCCGUGUCUUCUAGAGUCUUCUAGAUGUAAGAUAAUUGCGCGACACGUUAAUAUCUCUAUGUAAUCCCGACGUGUGGGCCUUUCUUCCGUAUUUCCUGAUAACCCCCUGCAGAAAUAGACGAACACCAAAACUCGUGGAAUUCUGUCAGAUAAAACCCUAAGUCUAGAUGUUGAUUUCAUUUGGAUCCUUUUCUUUGUUUAUUUGAUAAUUAAAUUUGAUACUUAAGGACCGUCAACAGGCGCCAGAUAAAUGCACAGAGUUUACAAUCUUAAGUAACAAUACUUAGGUACGCCAAUCAAUAGUUCAUGAAUAUAAAGAAUAAAACUACAAUUGAACAGAACUACCAUUGUAGCAUUUCAACCUAUGAGUAUUCAAGGGUUAUCGUAUUUAAUCUCGUAGGAGGGCGUAACAAAUGCAUCUAGCUUGGUUUGUAGCAUGAUCACUUAUGGAGAUGCAUAGGUAGACAUAGUCUAAUCAGGGGUCAUGGCAGGCUCUUAAAAUAUGGAUAAUGGACACAACCUCAGGGAAUAAAGAGAAAAUAAGGAAAUAAAAGAAAUAAAGAACAACUACUUGAGCCGGCAUUGAUCUUAUAUAACUAUGCAAAGAAUUGUUAGUCGAACAUCUAAUCAAUAUAACUAGAGUUAGAACUAAGUCUAAGGCUCUGGGGAGAUUCCCGCGGCUGGACAUCCAGCCGAUAGGGACUUUACAGAACUCCUACCGGAAUACCUGAUCGUGGGGGAAUACCACAGAUGACAAGGCUGUCACUACCCUGCUACCUACCCCUCUACCCGAAAGAUGCCCACACAUCCGCUGAUCUCUGCAUACCCGAGCACCUCGCCCGUGUAAUUGGAAACGCCUCCUAGCCUCCUGGGACCCCAACCCUUCGGAUUGACAGGCUCGGCUAAGAGUGGCCAUCACAGCCCAACGAACCAUUACCCCAAUCUUAAUCCUUUGUCUAUUCAUACUAAUUCGAUGAACGAUGAAGAACAAGGAUGAACACAUCAAGAACAUAGCAUAAGAACUAAGAACUAGUUUAUAUACUAUGAACAAGAUAUGAACACAACUAUACUCUAAUUCAAUUGCAUAAUCAUAUAAAUAAGAUAAGAACUUGCUCAUGGAGGAGAACUGAAUUGUAUUCAUACCAAGAAGCUCUAAGAUCCUCCAAGGAGAGAAGCUCUCCUUGCCAGCUUUGCCUUGCUCUACUACUGAAUCUAAACUAAAGAACAAGUGUUGAGAUGUGAGGUCUAUUGCUCCAAAUGAUGGUGUGUGUGUUGAAUGGUGUGGAGCCAUCUAUUUAUAGCCCAACAAAGACGGUUCAUGGCGAUCUAAAUUUGGUAGGAGGUGAAACCGUCCUAUGCAUUCCACCAUGCAACCGCCUGAAAAAGGUGGGACCGAGUUGCCGCCAUGGGGGCUGUGCCCGCACCAGGGUGCGGCCGCACCACUGGUGGGCCCUCCUGGCCACCACCUUCGAGUGGUCGGUUCGUCUCUGGGCCCUGAUCCUUCCCGUGGUUACGUAUGGAUCCAGUUCGGUGUUUUGGUGGGCUUUUCCAUUUAUCUUUGAUUUGCGCCUUUUCUGAAUACGCUUUCUUGAAGUGCGCUUUCUCGUGUCUUUUGCGCCUUUCCGUGUGUCAUACCUAAAAUUGAUAUUGCAACAAAACUUGUGGAAAGUUUAGUUCAAAGCCCUACCAUAUAUUUAUUUUAUUUGUUAAAAUGAUGUUUACAAUUAUAAGAUAAGGGGUACCAACACCUGCUUGCGAUGUGUGAUCUUCUACGUGACCCGUAUUAGGAAACAAAAAUUCCUUUCCUCCCUGCUCAUGAUCCUUGCGAUCCCCAACAUUGCCGGUGGCCACAUUUGCCUGCUGCCUGUGCCGGCUUGGUCGCACCAUCGCGCGCCCGCUGGUGGUCGUGCCCGCCUGUUGCCUGUGAUCUCUCCCUUCUAUAAAGUUUUUUCUCUCCAUAAAAAACAUCUCCCCCAAGCCACCCACCAAUCCUAUAAUGCCGUUGUCACUUAUUGCCAUCACCUCCCGAUCCCUGUCUCUCAAUGCUUCCUAGGACACCACUAAGUUGAGAAGAGCCCCAUGGAAGCCAGCUAGAUGGCUAUUGUUGCUUCUAGUCGUGCUGCUUGAGCAGGAGGACAACCACGCCCAGGUCUCCACCGUCACCAUCGUCAUCGUCACCCACCGCGUUGAAAGGUCUAAAAGGCUAGAGGGGGAGGGGGUGAAUAGUCUAUUUGAAAUUCUACAAACUUCACUAAGCAAGUGUGUUAGUAAAACACAAGGUGAAGCUAUUCUAGCACUAGCACGACUACGCUAUGCAAGCUACCUACACAAGUCCAGCAAUAAAGCUAAACACUAAGUCACAACAACUACAACUAAGGGUAAGCUACACUCCUAAACAAGAAGACUAAGCUACAUAAGCUAAACAACUAGCAAGGUAUGCAAGUGAGUAAGGAGUGGGGAGUGAUUAUUAUACCGAUGUUGUAGAGUAGAGAUAUAUCCAAUCAAUUACUCACAAUCACAAUCACAAGAGAGAAGCCUUGGCAAGAGAUGACACAAUAUUUUUUACUGAGGUUCACUUGCUUCUCGGCAAGCUAGUCCUCGUUAUGGCGAUACACCCACUUAAUGGAUCACGAGCUAAUUAACAAUGCAAAUCCAAACCCUCAGUGGGUGCCGCACAUCCACUCACAAAGUGGGGAUCCUCUAAGCCACGAGCAAUUCACUAGAGUAGCCAAUUGCGAUCUCCUGUGGAGAAGGCUCAAGAACCCCUUAUAAAUCACUCAGUGAGGCUCGAAACAAUCUCCAAUCAUGGCUCAACACAUCCGCUACUCCACGCCAUCUAGGAUAUCGAGAAACACCCAAGAAUAGCAAGAAAUCCAUAGCAAAAUCAAAGAUCAAGUGCCACUAAAUGCAACUCUCAAUGCAAUGCACUUGAACCUCACUUAAUCUCACUAGGAAUAGCAAUCAAGCAAGAAUAUAAGUGGAGGAUGUAUUCGCUAGCUCAAAGUAUGUCUCAAGUGUUCAAAAGUGUAAGAGAGAAGCCCCUAAAGCUGGCCACCUUCUGUUUAAAAAGGUCAGUGUUGAUAUUUGUUAACGCCAUCAGAAAAUGAUCCGCAAGCGCACGGAUAUCGGUGAGCACUUUACCCGGGAGGUUAUCCAGAGUAUCGUAUUUAUAUUUUUACCACUGGGAGAAAGCGUGCAUCUAACUAACCAAAUCUAUUGCUACUACCCUUUAGGCUACAAACAAUGUGAUUCGAUGUGAGCGAUGUAUAGAGAAGACUACAACCGCACUCUCGUUCUAACCUUGGUAAGGAUGAUCUAUUGUUCUAUUGGGGAGGCUCACGGAAUCUAGACACCACCAAGGAUGUUCGACCCGCACCUGUAAACCCUACCCAUCCUGCUAACGGGAUGUGCGCCUACAAGGUAGCUCGGAAAUGUCACGUUCCUCACUACUACCACGGUCCGGCUAGAUAGGGGAUAUCUAUGAGUACCCUAGCCCAAACCCCACGUUUACGCUAGCAAUGAUUACUCUAAACUCAACCGGAAGAGAUUAAAGUCAACUCAUAAACCAAAGAACAAUAAGAACAAAGAACUUACUAGAAUUUAGAAGUUGAAAUACUGAAGAAUCCUAGGAGCAAGCCUCAUGUUAGGAGACUUGAUCCCGCAGGUACAACCUCGGAGUAGACACCAAUAGGCCGGGCUUCCUCCAAUCUACACCUCCACUCUAUCUCUCUCAAUCUAGUAGAACUAAUUCUACUCUCACAUUGGAUGCUAAGCCCUAUGAGGUUGGAUCCCUAGAGGGACCUCUCUCUCUGAAUCCUCUCUAGAAAAUAUGCUAAUAAAUAAUGGGAUUUCCCUCCUCUAGGGGCCAGGGGCCUGCUUAUAUAGUCCCCUCAAGUGAACGUGGGCCGUCGGAUCAAACUGACAUUAAUCGCACGAUUUUCCUUAAUCCUUUAGGUCGGUGGAGCAUAAUCCGCGAGACGGGACCUGAUUGGUCUCUGUAGCAGGGCGGGCGCCCAAGGGGGGAGAGCGGGCGCCCUGCCCCCUGGCCCGCUCGGCCUUCCGUUCGUUCCCGUGGCUUUUGGAGUCUUCUAGAUGAUAGAAAAUUGCGCGGCACGUUAAUAUCUCUAUGUAAACCCGACAUGUGGGCCUUUCUUCCAUAUUUCCUAAUAACCCCAUGCAGAAAUAGACAAACACCAAAACUCAUGGAAUUCUGUGAGAUAAAACCCUAAGUCUAGGUGUUGGUUGCAUUUGGAUCCUUGUCUUUAUUUAUUUGAUGAUUAUAUUUGGUACUUAAGGACCGUCAACAACUCCCCCAAGCUUACCUCUUGCUCGUCCCUGAGCAAGGAUGGACUCGAGAGUUUCUACAGUGGUUUCAUGCCUUAAAAGUACACAUGCGUUCAAGCAAGAUCUCAUCUCUGAGUUAGAGUAAACUGUUAAGAUUUAAAACUUACUCAUUUUACCUUUCACCAUGGGGCUUGCAACCGUCACUUGUGUCUUGAGCAGUUAAAAGAUAGAACGGUCAAGUCAAGCGCCAUGUCUCUUGUUCUUUGAUUAACUAUAGCUCUAGAGUUUUUGCAUAUUUUCAAAUAAAACUCAGAGAUUCCUUUGUAUGACUCUCUCAAAUCUCUCUUUUGUGGUAUUUUUGGAUCCUUACCAAGGCAGUAAUGGUAUAUGCCUUCUCUCAAAGUAUAUGGUAUUUUUGGUAUGAGGCAUAGUGAUACUGCCUUCUCUCUCACCCUACUCUAAUAAGGUUUUGAUAUAUGGAGCUCAUAGGUGAGAGAUAAAGCAUACAUGCUUACAAGACAUUUAUUGCAUAGUCAAACCAUGGAUCCAGAAGAACAAGUCAAUAAGUCAAAUCAAGAUGUGCAUGUGUGGCGAGUGAAUGGUGUAUGGUGAUGAUGGUGAUAACAAUGGUGAAAGUCUAAUUCUACUUGUGCUCUUUUGAGGGGAUACAUACCUUUCUUGCACUUUGAAGCUCUUUGAGGAGAAUGAAAUGCUCUACAUUUUCUUUUUCUUUCCUCUCAGGUGGGUAUCUUGUACCCCUAAUCCUACUGUCGGACACUUGUCCAUUUUUACAUCUCGUCUCACUUUUUCUUUUCUUCGAGGUUCCGGGCACUUGCCCCUUUUUAUUUCCUUGUAUCCUUUCUCUUUUUUUAAGAACACUCAUCUCCUAAAAUGUAGCAAGUGGUAGUAACCAAGAUAACUCGAGCAUUUAUUUCACAGGGAAAAACAGAAAUAGGAGAAUAUUUUUGGCUAUUCUCUCCCGAAUAGGAGUAGAAUAAUUUUAGGUGAAUCUAGAGAUGGAAUUGAGUGGAUGUAUGUGGAUGCGUACUUCCAGAGUAGAAGUAGCAUGUAUGAGUGAAUGUGCAAGUGAAUCUUGAUUUUAACCGCAUGACAAGCUCCUAAGGGUCUACACAGCUUGACCACACUCAAUGCUCAUAAGCAGUAAAAAGUAAAUGUGUGGCUCAAAGUCUAGCAAGCAUGUAUAUAUGAGUGUGGUAGGAAUUUAAACUCUCAUCAUACAAGAACUCAUCAUGUGUUAUUUUAAAGAUUUUCAAAGAUAAAAUUCUCCAGAAUUCUAGCAUCUCAAGAAACAGAUAAACAACAGCUCAACCUUCCCAUAUCAUAUCCGUUAACAACUUAGACUUUAGAUCAAGUACUCUUCCCACAAGUUCAGGUUUAGAGCAGGUUUAAAUUAUAACAGUCAUGCCUAAACUUGAGAGAGAGCUCAAACUUGAAAACUAGGUACAUGGUAGAGCAACUAUUUAUCAUAUCCAUGUAAGAGUUUAUCAUUUAUGUUCAGUUUGGCCUAGACACUUUAUUUAUUUAUUUAGCAAACUAAGCAAAGAUAUAUAUAAGCACAAAAUUUUUAUUUGGGUUUUCAUGAUUAUGCAUCUUUUUAUCAUUUGAGUAAAGUAUAAACGCGAGUAGAAACACUUAGCUGGAUAAAUGGGGUGCUCUCCCCCCAAGCUGGAUUUUGACGUAAUUUCUUCUGAUGUAGCUAGCAGGUGACGGAGGUGUAUUUGAAUGUCAGCAGCACCCUGACAGCGAUUAUUAUGUCCUCCGUCGGCUAGUCUUCUUUGAUCCUUGAAUUCUGUGGAGGUCAAAUAGACAACAAAGCUUUGUGGAACUGGUUAAGUGUAAGCAUAAAAUCCCUUACCCUUUAUCAUAUUGAGAUUCCUCGUUAUAAAUUUUAUUUAGCAGGAUCAUGCACUUAUUAUUUUUAUAUUUUUAUUGUAAGAUGCAAACAUAUUUAUUUUAUGCCACCACAGUCAAUAUACCUAUGGGUUUUAAACCACAAGUAUACUCACAUGGGGCUUUAAUUUUAUGAUGCAGUGCAACAAAUAAAUAUUUUUGUUUUCUUUUCUAAUGCUAAUGUGGAAAAGUAAAUAUGCUAAUGCAAGUGAUGGAAUAAAAAAAGGAAAAGGAAUGCGGAAAAGAUAAAUAUGGAUAAAUACCGAUUUUACCUCAGGCAAGGAUCUAAUGUUUUAAGUCUUCUGGACAAGACUUCUCACCGUGUUCAUCCUUUAGGUGCAUCAUUUGAUUAGGUGUGGGCCUUGACAUCUGCACCUCUUGAUACGGUGUCACCCAUGAUCUUCGUUUGUCUAGCAGUUCGAGGUGCGGCAUUGGCAGUAUCUUGCUCAGUGUGUUUGUGCUCGUAGAUCCAAGUCCUUCACUUGGUGGAAUCUGGGAGUUAAAAAAUCCUCCAUGUUUCUCAAAAUGUGUCCUGCUCAUAGAGACAAGGUAGAGAUCAAGUGCACGGCCCUUGUUGGUGAAAAACACCAACAGAACCAAAAGUGUAUUUGUUCUUCUCUAACCUUAAGCAUAGUGAGCAAGACAAAGUUGAUGGAUAAUAAGAUCAUGAGUGUGGCAUUUAAAACAUUUGUCAGAUCAGAUCGCUCGACCUAAUGGAAAGAUAAUCUAUCUAUAUUUAUAUUUUUUAUAUCUUCCAAAGAUUGAAUGUGCAACAUUUUAGCUUAUAUGAUUAGGACUGUGGGAUCACGAAGGUAGUACUAAGUGUUGACGGUUCUUAAGUAUCAAUUUUAAUUAUCAAAUAAACAAGAGAAAGGACCAAUAUGCAACCAUCACCUAGAAUUAGGGUUUGAUCUAACAGAAUUCCACGAGUUUUGUUGUUUAUCUGUUUCUGCAGGGGGUUAUCAGGAAAUAAGGAAGAAAGGCCCACAUGUCGGGAUUACAUAGAGAUAUCAACGCACCGCGCAAUUUUAUAUCAUCUAGAAGACUCCAGAAGCCACGAGACCGAAGCGGAGGCGAAGCUGGGCCAGGCCCAGGGCGCCCGCCCUGGUAGCCUGGGCGCCCGCCCCCCUGUUGGAGCCAAUUCAGGACUCCUUCGCUCGGGAUAUUCCACCGACCUAUUGGAUCAAGAAAAACAUAGUACCACCUCGCCUAUCGACCCAAAAACGCAUAGAAGGGGAGGACUAUAUAAGCAAGGCCCCCCUGGUCCCUGGAGGACAAGAAGAAAUUAUCAUAGAGACUGAGGGGUGCCCUCGAAGGAAAACCUCUUCUCUAAUUAAUAUUUCUUUUUAGGCUUAGCAAUCAAUGUAAGGUAGAAAUAGAUCUUCUAGUUUCUACUAGAUUGAGAGAGAUAGAGUGGAGGUGUAGAGUGGAGGAAGCCCGGCUUGUCGGUGUCUACUCCAAGCUUGUACCUGCGGGAUCAAGUUCUCCUAACCCGAAGCUUGCUCCUAGGAUUCUUCAGUAAUUCGACUUCUAAAUUCUAGUAAGUUCUUGUUUUAUUGUUCUUAUGGUUUAUGAGUUUACUUUAAUCUCUUCGCGUAGAGUUUAGAGUAAUCAUUGCUGGCGUAAACGUGGUGUUUAGGCUGGGGUACUCAUAGAUAUUCCCUGACUAGCUGGACCGUGGUAGUAGUGAGGAACGUGACAUUUCCGAGCUACCUUUGUAGAUCACAUCUCGUUAGCAGGAAGGAUAGGGUUUAUAGGUGUGGGUCGAACAUCCUUUGUGUUGUCUAGAUUCCGUUAGCCUCCCCAUUAGAACAAUAGAUCAUCCUUACCAAGGUUAGAAGGAGACUACGGUUGCAGUCUUCUCUAUUUAUCACUCACAUCGAAAGACAUUCUUUGUGCCUAAAGGUUAGUAGUAAUAGACCGGUUAGUCAGAUGCACUCUUUCUCCUAGUGGUAAAAAAAUAAAUACGAUACUCUGGAUAAUUUCCUGGGUGAAGUGCUCACCGAUAUCCUUGCGCUUGCGGAUCAAUUCCUUAUUGCAUUCCCAAAUAUCAACAAGCAUUUCUGGCGCCGUUGCCGGGGAGAAAGACGGUUUGUGAGAUAACCUGUGUCUUGCUAUUAGCUUGUAUCUAUACUUUUAUCUUUUCUUAUCUUUUAUAUUCUUUAUUUAUUUUUCUUCACUCUUACCUUAUGGAAAACCAAAAUUCUAAAUCGAUCCAUGAGUCUGCAAUCCCUUUAGCAACUGACCUUUUACCAUGGGAAUCAUCACAGCCUAUCCAAACACCCCAGUAUAAGUUAAGUUCUAGGUUGAUUGCCAUGAUUCAAAACCUAUCUUUUUCAGGAAAGGAAGACGAAAACCCUUACCUUCAUAUUAGAGAUUUUGAGCAAACAUGUGAUUGUCUUCGCAUUGAAGGCAUUUCUGAUAAGACUUUACGUUGGAAGCUUUUUCCUUUUCCUUUAAGGGGAGAAGCUAGACAAUGGUACAGUCAGAAGGUAAGUCAACAACAAGGUGAAUGGGGAGUUUUACGAGCCAACUUGUGUCUAGAUUUUUAUUCCCUUGACCGUAUAGCUGACCUUAGACUCGAAGUCCUAUCUUUUAAACAAAAAGAUAAUGAAACUUUGGGAAAAUCCUGGAAACGUUUUUCUGAUCUUUUAGAAUCUGGUCCAAACCUUAAUCUUGAAGACCCUGUUCUUUUAUUUCAUUUUUUCCGAGGUCUUCAUAAAAAUCACAAACAAAUGCUACACACAAUGUCUAGAGGUUCUUUCUUUCGCAUCCCUGCUGAUGAAGCAAGAGUGAUCCUAGAUAGAAUCCUAGAAGCUGAGAUGGAUAAUACCCUUCAUGAUGAAACCUACGAAGCCGAAGUAGACACUCUGCCAAAUUCUUCAUCUACUUUAGCUAUCCCAAGUUCUGAGCCACAAGAGGAAGAAAUUCCACUACCGGACUUCAUGCUGGAUAUAGAAUCCGAUCUUUUUGCUGAUUUUGGAAAUAUUACAAACUACCAUUCUAUUGACAAACCCCAAAACGGCCAGUUUAGCAUUUAUUUACCAAGUGAAUAUCAAUUGAGAGAGCUUAUCUCAGUAAUGAGUAGCGAAUGGUUGGAGGAAUCAGAGCUUUCCUCUGAUGUGAUCCGAUUGGACACACCCUCUAUAACUAUACGCUGUGCUUAUAAUUCUGAUCGAUUUAAUGCUCUCUAUAAUCCUGUUGUGGGGAUCAACAUUAUGUCUGAAUCCUUUGCACUUAAACUAUUUAAAAAUCUUGUCUUAACCCCCACAACAAAGGUCAUAAAGGAAUCUUCGGGACGAUUAGUCCCCAGUCUUGGAAUUAUUAAUGUCCUGCCUCUUACGGUAGAAGGCUCCAUGGUUCAUUUGAACUUCUAUAUCUUUGAUACAUGGGACGUCGACCUAUUGAUAGGACAACCUUUUAGAAGACUCCUUUAUGAAGGUCAUACUGGAAAGCUACACAUUUCUUUUGGAAAAAUUUUUCAAUUCCCAAUGAUAAUUUCACACUCCUUAAACAAUAAGGCCGAGUCAUAUCUUUUGCCUGAUCCUAUGGAGGAAGUAAAGGUUGCAUCUCUAGAGCUUUUAGAUGAACCAGACUUAGAAGACGAAACUCCUUUCUUCACAGAAGAAGAAGACGAACCUUCUGAGCCUGAACCCUUAGACGAGUUCGCAGAAACACCUAGACCCCCCAUAGAACUUAAAACCUUACCACCCGGUCUUACCUAUGCUUUCCUAAACAAUAAUCCAGAGUUCCCUGUGAUCAUUAGCGAUAAACUCACUCAGGAUCAAACUCUACGAUUAAUGACCAUUCUUGAGAAACAUCAAUCAGUUUUCGGCUACUCACUUCAAGAUCUUACAGGAAUCAGUCCUAUGAUUUGUACCCAUCGUAUUCCAACAGAUCCUUCUGUUACACCCUCUCGAGAACCCCAACGUAGACUUAACAACACUAUGAGAGAGGUAGUUAAAAAGGAAGUUAUAAAGUUGCUGCAUGCAGGGAUUAUAUAUCCUGUGCCGCACAGUGAGUGGGUAAGCCCAGUACAAGUUGUGCCUAAAAAGGGAGGCAUGACAGUUAUUAUGAAUGAAAAGAACGAGCUAAUUCCGCAACGCACCGUCACAGGAUGGCGGAUGUGCAUAGACUAUAUAAAACUAAACAAAGCCACAAGAAAGGAUCACUUUCCUUUACCUUUCAUAGAUGAGAUGCUAGAGCGGUUAGCAAACCAUUCGUUCUUCUGUUUCUUAGAUGGAUAUUCAGGGUAUCAUCAAAUCCCGAUCCAUCCCGAUGAUCAAAGCAAAACCACUUUUACAUGCCCUUAUGGAACUUAUGCUUACCGUAGAAUGUCUUUUGGGUUAUGUAAUGCACCAGCUUCUUUUCAAAGAUGCAUGAUGUCUAUAUUUUCUGAUAUGAUUGAAGAGAUUAUGGAAGUUUUCAUGGAUGAUUUCUCUGUUUAUGGAAAAACUUUUGAUAGUUGUCUUGAAAACUUAGACAAGGUUUUGCAAAGAUGUGAAGAAAAGCACUUAAUCCUUAAUUGGGAAAAAUGUCAUUUUAUGGUUAGAGAAGGAAUAGUGCUAGGACACUUAGUGUCUGAAAGAGGUAUUGAGGUAGACAAAGCUAAAAUUGAAGUAAUUGAACAACUACCUCCACCUGUGAAUAUAAAAGGAAUUCGAAGCUUUCUUGGCCAUGCUGGUUUUUAUCAUAGAUUCAUAAAAGAUUUUUCAUUUAUUGCUAGACCACUUACUCUUUUGCUAGCCAAGGAUGCUCCUUUCGAAUUUGAUGAUGCAUGUCUAACAUCUUUCAAUUUAUUAAAGAAAGCACUCAUCUCUGCACCAAUCAUUCAACCCCCUGAUUGGUCGUUGCCUUUUGAAAUUAUGUGUGAUGCUAGUGAUUACGCUGUGGGGGCAGUAUUGGGACAAACUAAAGAUAAGAAGCAUCAUGCAAUUGCUUAUGCCAGUAAAACUUUGACAGGAGCUCAACUUAAUUAUGCAACCACUGAAAAAGAGCUUCUGGCUGUUGUCUUUGCCAUAGAUAAAUUUAGAUCUUAUUUAGUUGGAGCUAAAAUAAUUGUUUACACUGAUCAUGCUGCAUUAAAAUAUUUGCUCACUAAAAAAGAUGCUAAACCUCGCCUGAUUAGAUGGAUUUUAUUACUCCAAGAAUUUGACUUAGAAAUAAAAGAUAAAAAAGGAGUAGAAAAUUCUGUUGCUGAUCACUUGUCUAGAAUGUAUUUUAAGAGUCCACAGGAAACCCCCAUCAAUGAUUCACUCCGGGACGACAUGCUCUACGGGAUUAACAGGUCUGACCCCUGGUAUGCAGAUAUUGUUAAUUUUAUAGUUUCAGGGUAUGUACCACCAGGAGCAAACAAGAAGAAGCUUAUUCAAGAAAGUCGUUCACAUAUAUGGGAUGAGCCAUACCUCUUCCGAGUGUGCUCUGAUGGCUUACUCAGGAGAUGUGUGACCACUGAGGAAGGAUGGAAGAUCAUCGACAGAUGUCAUUCAUCACCAUAUGGAGGUCACUAUGGAGCAUUCCGUACACAUUCAAAGAUCUGGCAGUGUGGAUUCUAUUGGCCUACAAUGUAUGAAGACACGAAGCAAUAUAUCAGAAGAUGUGGGCCAUGUCAAAGACACGGAAACAUAAAUACAAGGGAUGCAAUGCCACUCACCAACAACCUUCAGAUUGAGCUCUUUGAUGUCUGGGGAAUAGACUACAUGGGUCCAUUUCCUCCAUCAAAGAAGUGUGAGUACAUUUUGGUGGCAGUUUAUUAUGUCUCCAAGUGGGUAGAAGCAUUACCGUGCAAGCAUGCCGACAACGUCAGUUCAAAGAGGAUGUUUGAAGAAAUCAUAUUUCCAAGGUUUGGAGUUCCCAGAGUAGUGAUAAGCGAUGGAGGAGCACACUUCAUCGACAAACGCUUCAAGCAAUACCUAUCAAGACAUGGAAUCCGUCACAACGUCGCUACUCCUUAUCAUCCUCAGACAAGUGGCCAAGCAGAGACUUCCAACAAACAAAUCAAGAAUAUUCUUCAGAAGACAGUAAAUGAAAUGGGAACGGCGUGGAAAGACAAGUUACCCGAUGCACUCUGGGCAUACCGGACAGCAUACAAGACCCCAAUCGGAAUGUCUCCAUACCAAUUGGUAUACGGGAAGACUUGCCAUCUACCUGUUGAACUAGAGUUCAAAGCACACUGGGCCAUAAAGAGAUGGAAUAUGGACCUAGAUGUUGCUGGAGAUUAUAGAAAAAUGCAACUAUCAGAAUUGGAAGAAUGGCGAGAGAAGGCAUAUCACAAUUCAAAGAUCUACAAAGAAAGAGUCAAAAGGUGGCAUGACAAGAGAAUCAAGAAGAACGAGUUCACACCCGGAGAUAAGGUAUUACUUUUUAAUUCCAGGGUAAAGCUUUUCGGGCAUGGAAAACUCCGGAGCAAAUGGGAAGGACCAUUCAAGGUAAUCAAUUCAUCAUCCCACGGAGCUAUCACACUUCAAAAUAGCGAAGGUACGUUAUUCAAGGUAAAUGGUCAACGUCUUAAAUUAUUUUUAGAGCCCAAUGAAGAAUUUGAAGAAAUAGACGUAGUCCAUUUUUACCUUCCCAUGGAGAAUUAGAGCCCGACACUUUUGGUCUGAUGGUUUUGGGUCAUAUAUAUAUUUUUCUAAAUAAUUUCGCAUCUAGAAACACGCUCGGAGAAGUGGGCCCACAGAGGGGCCAGAGAGAGGGCGGGCGCCCAGGUCAAGUGGGCGGGCGCCCUGCCCCUGUUCCCCCUCGGUCCCGACUUUCUCUGUUAUGGAAAAUGCACUUAUGGUAAUUCGAAUAAUCCCUCGGACGGAAAGUUUCUCACGCACAUCGACGGGAGUAACCCGAACAACCCAUAGAGGCAUCCUUUUGACCCCUAUAUAAACAGACCCCUGACCUCAGUUUUCAAACACCAAGCCACCAAGCUUUCUCUCCUUCAAUUAGAGCUUGAUUAGCUCUCCUUCAAUUAAAAUUUUAUUAGUUCCUUGCUACUCCAAUGGCCGACAAGUACCACGACGAUUGGGAAGUCGUCCCCUUCAACCUCAACAUGGAGCCAGUGGAAGACCUCGAUGCCCGUGCUCUCGUCCCAGCCAACACAGAGCGUCAGCUAGAAGCCAUGCCAUUACGUCAACGUAGCUCUGCCCAAUCUUACCAUGCUCAACCAGUUCUCACCGCACCACCACAACCCCUACUCCUCAAAGGAUCAUCAUCCAAAACGAAGACCACUAUCAAGGUGCCAGUCGGCACAAGGAUCCUUCCACCUAGACCCAAUGAGAGGGUCGUUGGAGUCAAGACCAACCGGAGCGGCGAGAUCAGCAGCGUUCGCUACACUACGGAGGAGGAAAGGCCUUACUUUGAAGGGAUUAGAGCAGCCAAAGUCCGUUUCAUCCCUCCAAAGGCAGCCCCGAAGCACUCUCUCAAUGCUUUUGAGACACCUCCCAAGCGUCGCAAGACUAUAAUGGAUAUUGAUGAGGAAGUUCGCAGGCUAGAUAGAAUUAUUAUAGAUCUCUAGUCCUCGAUUAAUUCCCUCACUAGGCAGCUCUCUAACCACAACACCAUUAUACUAGGCCUGAGGCAGGAUCUUGCCAGUGCCAACAAGAAGAUCAAGGAAUUAGAGCGCCGCUAAGUUAUCUAGAUUAGACCUUAAGGCAAUGCAUCUUAGUCAUUUAUCUUUAAAUUCGGUUUAGGUUUACUAUUAUCAUCAGUUUACUAUUAUUAUCAGUUUGCUAUCAGUUUGUUAUCAGUUUUUUGUAAUAAAUGCCUCAAGAUCAAUAAAGAGUAUUACUAUUAUUAUUAUGUCUUGUGUGUCUCUACUUUAUUUUUGUGCAAGAAAGCAGAAAACAAGUAUGGGGGAGAUCCCUCGACAUGCCAACCACACUCCGAUUACACCACUCCACCACUCAGGUACACACUCUGCACACUUUACUUUACACAUACAUUUAUUUUGGAUUAUGCAGAAUAUUGUUUCCGACAUGAUAAAUUAAAAAGAUUAAAAUAUUUCUAAUCAUGAUUAAUCUCAAUCUGUGAUAUUUCCUGAAAACUUGCAAUUAUUGGGAAUCAUUUUAAAACCCUGUGUUACUUAAGUCAAUAUGGAAUAUGUGAUGGUAGAGUAUGAGUUUCUUAUUCUUGAUAUCAUUGUUACUUGGAGAACUUAUUUCAAAAUAUUCAAAUUUCUAGCUACCAUCCUCAGUGUUUUAUAUGCCUGAUAAGACUGAAAUAUUAAUUAUGAUUAUAAAAGCUAUCUGCUCUGUAUUGAGUUUGUUCAAAAUGAGUUAGACCCUUGUUGAGAGAUUUAUCAUGCUCCCAAGAUCAAGACAUUAUUUCAGUAAGAUUCACUCUUCCGAAGUAUUAUUGCAUUAGAGGCAUGGGCUAUGCAAAAAUAGAAGAUAUUUCGAGGAAAUAAAAAGGAGCAAGUGCUCGACAACCUCGCAGAAAAAAAAAUGGACAAGUGUCCGGCAGUAGAAUUAGGGGUACCUCGGUAUCCACUUAAAAAAAAGAGAGAAAAAAAAUGAUAGCCCAUGGUCCCUCUAAUAAGCAAUAUGCCAGCAAGAGUUGACAAAGUUUUUAAUUUCUAAAGUCUUUGAUCUAAGAGUAUGACAUUCCCCUCCUCGGAUCCCGUUUUGAUCAGGCAAUAAAUGCAAAGUAAGUAUGCUUGAGAAUUUUUGCAAAAAUUAAAACAGCCUCAGUGAGAUAUAUAUAUAAAAGAUAAUGAGUGAUCUGAGAGAACCUAUGAGGAUAAAAAGGUAUGCUAAUUUUCUUUCAAAAAUAUACAAAAACUCCAAGUGACAGGAUUGAGAAGAAAGGAUCUUUACUCUUAACCAUAUACUUCCCUGACUAUGGUACACAGUGGAAUUUUUAACACCCUGCAAUUAUAAAGAGAAUGUUUUAAAUGUUUACCCCAGAUAUUAUUCUCAACCAUCCUUUUCUCGAGGACGAGUAAAAGCCUAAGUAUGGGGGUAUUUGUUGACGGUUCUUAAGUAUCAAUUUUAAUUAUCAAAUAAACAAGGGAAAGGACCAAUAUGCAACCAUCACCUAGAAUUAGGGUUUGAUCUAACAGAAUUCCACGAGUUUUGUUGUUUAUCUGUUUCUGCAGGGGGUUAUCAGGAAAUAAGGAAGAAAGGCCCACAUGUCGGGAUUACAUAGAGAUAUCAACGCACCGCGCAAUUUUACAUCAUCUAGAAGACUCCAGAAGCCACGAGACCGAAGCGGAGGCGAAGCUGGGCCAGGCCCAGGGCGCCCGCCCUGGUAGCCUGGGCGCCCGCCCCCCUGUUGGAGCCAAUUCAGGACUCCUUCGCUCGGGAUAUUCCACCGACCUAUUGGAUCAAGAAAAACAUAGUACCACCUCGCCUAUCGACCCAAAAACGCAUAGAAGGGGAGGACUAUAUAAGCAAGGCCCCCCUGGCCCCUGGAGGACAGGAAGAAAUUAUCAUAGAGACUGAGGGGUGCCCUCGAAGGAAAACCUCUUCUCUAAUUAAUAUUUCUUUUUAGGCUUAGCAAUCAAUGUAAGGUAGAAAUAGAUCUUCUAGUUUCUACUAGAUUGAGAGAGAUAGAGUGGAGGUGUAGAGUGGAGGAAGCCCGGC